rnacentral:lncRNA from 1 species
UUAACACUCUUACGAGGCUUACCGACCAUUCCUAGCGCAAAUGGCAAAAGAAUUUAAUGAUUGGUAUUCGAAAUCCAAGUUCGAAUCUUAAUUGAUUCAUAUUUUCAGCUAAAUUUAUUUCUUGAUGAAAUAAAUGAAACGGAUAGCAUGCUAUAUUUCUCUCUCUCAAAAAAAAAACAACACUCUUACGAGACUUAGUUUUUGUUGGAACUUCGCUUUUGUUUUUAUCUCCAGUAAUAGUUAUAUUCAACAGGAUAUUUAUUAGAUAAAAAAGUUGACUACUUGUGUCAUAAUAAAACAAGGUACAUAUGAAGCUUUAAAACAAAAUUUUUAAUUUGGUAUAUGCUUUAAACUAUAUAUAUAUAUAUAUAUAUAUAUAUAUAUAUAUAUAUAUAUAUAUAUAUAUAUAUAUAUAUAGUCACUACAACAGAAUUAGGUUAUAGGGACACAUGUUUGGGACACUUUUGAGUGAGUGUCCAAUUUAUACUAAAACUUAAAAACACAUCUACUAAUGUCUAAAUAUAAAGCCCAAUACAACCAAAAAUAAAAGAUUACUCUACUCAACCCACCACACCCAGUCCAUUUGGCCCGAUUACAAACAGAAAAGUAAAAAAAAAAGAAAAAUCAAUUGCCAUCUUUUCUUCUCUCUUCACUCAAUCCACUGAAAUUCUAGACGAAGAGCAUUUACUGUCGUCCUCCUCCUCCACCGCAGCCAACGAGAUAGAGUUUCGACGGUUGUUAAAUGUUUAAAUAAGUGUUGGUAAAUUAGUAGCACUCUUUUAAGUUAUAGCGACACUCUUUAACUGUCACUAUAUACCUAACGACCCCACAUAUAGCAACACUUUUUAAAAGUGUCGGUAAUUUUAGCUAGCAGCACUUUUUUGACAUGUACCUACAUUUAAAAGUGUCGCUAUAGACCGUUUUUUUUGUAGUGAGUCCGGCUACUAUACUCUUAUGAGUACGAUCGUCCUCGUACUCAUAAGUUAUUUUCAAUGAUGGAGCUUUUGAAUCGACGAUCCAUACCGUUAAACAUUAUCUAAAGCAUUUAAAACUUAUAGAAAUCAAAUUUUAUAAUUUUUCGAUAUCAUUUAUCUUACGAUCAAAAGCUCACAAAAAUAAAAAUUUUUAAUGGCCGGUAUGGAAUACUUGCUAGUUUAACGGUAUAAAAAAAUCGGAAUAGGUUGAAUUUUUGAUAGAAAAUUCUAUUCACUACCUAGAUAAAGAUCAAUAACUCUGAUUUUAAAUUGAAAGAUCCGAUCAUCCAAUUUUAGGAUGUCGUUCGAUUUUGACCAUUCAUUUAUACCCGCUUGAUGGACUUUAUAAUGAUUUCAAAAAAUUACGAAAUUUAUUUUUUAAAAGUUUCAAAUACUUAGAUCAUGUUUAACAGUGUGGAUCGUCCAUUCGAAAACCGCAACAUCAAAAACAACUUAUGAGUAGGAAAGGCUAUAUAUAUAUAUAUAUAUAUAUAUAUAUAUAUAUAUAUAUAUAUAUAUAUAUAUAUAUAUAUAUAGUAGAGCUAUUAUGUUAUCGGAAGUAUUGAUUAUCUAGUACUUCCGACUUUUUGGCCCUUAUAUCAAUUCCUUUAAGCAUUUCUAACUUUUAGAUUAAUACUAUUACUCUGUGAGGACCGUUCAACUCUAUAGUUACUACUCAACCAUAUGAGGGACUGCAAUCAUCUCAACCCUACACUAUAUAUACUAAGACUCUAACAGUAACUAGCAUCAAAUAGGCGAAAAUGAUAUAAUAAAAAUUUCACUCACAUCUAUACUUAUACAUUAUUUUUCAUACAGUUCAUCACGUGACAAUUCCUUCUUCACCUCCCUUCCCAUUUUCUAAUUAAUAUAUUCACUGAUCUAUUUUCAUCUAAAUAAAUUGCUUUCACAAACAAAAUAUUAAAUAAGGUUUCUUCAUACUUUUUUUUUGCUUUUUUUUUUGUGCACAAGAAUGGUUCAUUUUUUGUAUUUCUUUAAUUUUUUUCUCCAUUUUUUAAAAUUGUGUGGAUAUUGAAAUUAGGAUUCCGAGAAUCGCGGCGGCACGGCAACAUGAAGUGGCGAUGGAUUUGGAGUCGAUGAAGGGAAAGAAGCGGUGGGUACGGAAGGAUCCGUAAGGCAUCGACGUGGCUAUGACUAAGGAGAAGCUCGAUGCCGACAAUGGCGGUGGAGGCAACAUGGAGAACGGUAAUGCCUCUCCGAUCUCGGCAACGCGAUCAAGAUGCGAAUUGAAUGGUAACUCUAUUACUACUUCUUUCAUUAUUAUUAUGUGUAAUUAUUUGCUUUUAUAAAUUUUUCUAUAUUUAUAAAUAUCUGUUUUAUAUUUUCUAUUUGUAUUUAUUGAUAUCUAAUUACAAAUCAAAAAAUUUUAAAACUUUAACUUUGUCAAUCUUUUAUCUUCUAAAGUAUUAGCCCGCCGCAAUGCAAAAGUAACUUCACUAGUGUAUAAUGAAUGUGAAAAGGAUGCAAAAAUGGUCCAACAUUAUAUUUAACACUUAUAAAUUUUCUUUGUAGUGGGGUUCUCAUCCAAUGGGUUGGAUUUGUUAAAUAUAAAAAUAUUUAACUUCACUAGUGUAUAAUGAAUAUGAAAAGGACACAAAAAUGGUCCAACAUUAUAUUUAACACUUAUAAAUUUUCUUUGUUGUGGGGUUCUCAUCCAAUGGGUUGGAUUUGUUAAAUAUAAAAAUAUUUAAACACCGUUCUCUGGCAGUUUAAGCUUUUAGAGUACAACGGUUGUUUCACAUGGUAUCGAGGAGGAGGUUCUGAGUUCGAGUCACGCAAAAAAAAUAAACAAAGUCUCGAGCCCACGUCAUGGGCCGACUAAAAAGUCCAUGUCAUGGGCCGACCGUUCUCUAGCAGUUUAAUUCAAGCCCACGUCAUGGGCCGACUAAAAAGUCUCGAGCCCAGACGUGAGGAAAAUUUAAAUAUCGUUCUCUAACAGUUUAAUCUUUUAGAGUACAACUGUUGUUUCACAGGAUUCAACUUGGUAGUUUUUUUUUUUUUUUAAUACCAAUUUCAAAGCCUUUUUUUUCAAGGCACUACACAAAAAAAAUAAACAAAGGGGAAUAAUUGAUUUGGUGAAGCAUGCUCUUUGUGAGAUAUCAAUUUAACUUGCCAUUUCCUAAAAUUUCGACGAGUUGUUGAUCAAUCUAAUACAAGUGGCAGAGCUUAAUUAGAGUUUAUUGUGCUUUAAUUACAUUGCUAUUAACAAAUAACUAUCAAGAAACUCAUGCUCCUUAAAUAUGUCUCAAGUGGGAUAUAAUACCAUCAUAUGUUUCCCAGUUUGGUUAAGUUACUUAGCUCCUUUUCUCUUUUAGUUGGAUUAGAUCUUAGUUACAAUUAGGUUGAAGAUUUGUGUAUAUCCUUGGGCAUGGGGAAAAAUGUUGUCCAUGAGAAACUUUAUAGUCCAAGAUGUUAUUCGAAUGCUUUUGGUUAUUAGAUAGAGGCUUGUAGGGAUUGUUUACAGAAUGCGAACUACUGUGAAACAACUGAUUACUCUAAAUAAACACUAUUUAAAUGUUAUCAUAAAUAGGGAUUUGGACUCAGGAACUUUUAACGACUAAAGCUUUCAAACUAAUGACCAAUGUUUCACUAUUCCUAAUUGAGUAUCCAUAGUUUGGUUCAACACAAGAACAUUUAUACCCGAAAGAAUAGAGUAUGAACAUUUGAUGGAUAGAAGAUCUAGAGAGCUUUAUGGUCAGAAGAAUGCUGCAAAUUAUUUUGAACCAGAACUCGAAGCUACGAUAAGGGGCUGAAAUCGUUUUAAUGAAAGUAAUUUUACUACAAAAUUUUAAAUAAACAUGUAGCACCUCAAACCCUCCCCCUAAAAAAUAAUUAAGUCUGAUAUCAUACGAGAUACCAUUGAUAUAAGUCAACGGAUAAUACUGAUGCGAAUCUAAUAAUAAAACUAAGUGCUAUCAAAAGCUCAUGCUAUCAAUAAUUCUUCAUCUUAUUAUUUAUUCAUUUUCUUUCUUUUUUUUUUUUGCGGUAAAUGAAUGUAAUAAUAAUAUCAUACUCUCGGGCUAAUGGAUUCUAAGUUGUUGACUCCCUCUAUUGAUUCAACCAUUUGGAGGUGUUAUCUGUUGGACAAUUAUAUUUUUUAUAAUAAUAAUAAUAUCAAUUCUUUUCCUUUCUCCCUUUUUUGACUGAAUAUAAUAAAAACAACUCAAACAUAUAUAAUAAUAAAAAAUAUAUACCAAGUAGGGCACUUACAGUUGAGAUGUCAUUGUAAUUAUGGGUCAUCUUCUAACUCUCUCUAACAUGGAAACUUCCAUUUAAAAACCGAAAAAUAAACAAAACAAAAAAAAAGACAUUUUAAACAAAGUAAAAGGGCUUGUGCAGAAGCCUUGUUAAUUAUGACAAUACAUGAACAUGGAAAGCCUUAAUUAAUUAGUUCUUAAUCUCUCGAAGCCAUUAUUAAUUGAAUAAAAUAAUUAAGCUUCCAUCUAGGGCAAAUGAGGUACAACCCUAGGUCAAAGGGGGGUCUCAAUGCAAAGUAAGUUCCAUAGAAAAGGACUCUUUUUUUUAGUAAACCCUAGUAGUUAGAUGUCCUAUUCACUCACACAUUUACAUUUUAUUAAAUCCAAAAGGAGGUUGAUUAAUUGCACCAUUUGUCCCCAACAUUUAUCUUUUGUUUCACGUUUGUUCCUACCCUUUUUUUUCUUUGGUUAUUCAAUCAUUAACUGAAUAUUUUGGAGCUAUUUGGUUCAAAAUUUAUAAUAUUCUAAAAAGAUUAUAUACUUUAUAUUAAGAAUAAUAAAUAUUUUACUAACUUAUUAAGUCAUUUAGGUCAUAGGUUGUUAAGAACUAGUAAUGAACUACUAAUAAGUUUAAUAAUACGAAGGAUCUUCAGAAUAUUAUAAAUCAUAAACCAAAUAAGCCCUUUGUUCCAAUUAGAUCCUGUCAUCCAUAUUCCUGUCAAUUUUGACGAAAAAAGCUAUGACAAUUUCAAGAGAAACCCUACAUAUUUAUAUAAAUUACAAUUAUGAUUUGAUAAUCUCCUGUCAAUCUCAGUGCUACCUUUUUUAUACUUCUAACAAAACUUGAUGGUAUGCCCAAGCGAUUCCAAGAGUACUAAAUGCUUCAAAAGAGACAGUAAACAUUAUGUGCAAGAUCAAGAUGGCCAUAGGCGCAGAGGACAACAUUGAGGGGUCAUUAAGAUUGGGCCUGACACGAUGGAUGCACAUAUAGGAAAAGAGGUUAGAGACUAAAAUGAAAACAUGAGUAAAGAUUAGGGACCAAUAAUAUGAUUACUUCUAAUAGUUAAUAAUUUGAUUGCAAAAAAAAAUGAAAAAAAAAACAGAAAAAUCAGGUGAACAGUUGGAACCAAUGGUGCAAUAACCAGAAAAAAAAAAAAAACAAAACAAAAGGAAAGACAUGUUUAGAGUGAUAAAUGGAAGCAAACCAUUAGAUUAGGACAUUAAUUAUUAAUCCCUAAUUAUUAAUUAUUUCCUCGAGCCACACACUUAAUUAGAAAAUUUAUUUGGUGCAUUACAGGUCAACUCCUCUAGACCAAUUUGCAUUCCCCCAGCUCAAUUCUAUACACCAAAUUGUUUUUUUGGCAACAUGGCGAGAGACACGAAGACGAAUUAGUCGGAGAUAUGUUCAAAAUAGAUCGAUCGAUCGAUCAAUGCGUUAACUUCUGCAUACUGCAAUUAAACACUCUUUGUUUAAUUUACAAAGGGUGUUAUAUCAAAUUAACUAUUUUUAGGGCUAAAUUUGACUCCUAUUUUGUGUUUUUAUCGCAAAUGAAAAGAACAGCGUUAUUGUUAUUAUUUUCCACUCAUUUCUUUAGCGAUGAAAAUCACCCCCCUGACUAAAACACAGUCAAUCGUAAGUUCAUUUAUUUUAUUUUUUGUCGAUAUUUGACCAAACAGAAAGGAUGUCGUUGAAUCGUAUCAUAGUAUAGAACAAGACACAUAGGGCUGGCAAAUGAGCGACCCGGCUCGCGUUCGACUCGAUAUUUCGCUCGCUCGAGCUCGACUCGAAAUUAAAUGAGCCGAGCGUGAACAAAAAAAAGGCCCGAAAUUCAUUUCAAGCCGAGCUUGAGUAUUACUCGGCUCGUUCGCAUUAGGUUCGAAAAGCUCGAAUAUAUAUAUAUAUAUAUAUAUAUAUAUAUAUAUAUAUAUAUAAAAUUGACUUCUAUGCUUUUAAAAGUACCAAGACAUUGGUACUUGUAGUUUUAGCCAUUGGAUCAACUCUUUUCAUUAUUUCUAACCAUUGGAUUAAAUACUAUAAUUCAGUAGGGACCACUCAACCUUUAGGGGACUACUCAACUCUAACUGACUAAUAUCAUCUUACAAUUUUUCAUCCAAGGGUUAAAAACUUGAUAGUAAAAAGAGUGUUUUACUAUUAAUAAUAUUCCAGCCUAAUUCAUAUAUAUAUAUAUAUAUAUAUAUAUAUAUAUUAGAGCUACUAUACUAUCGAAAGUAUAGAGGAUGCUUUCGAUUUUUUGAUUCUUAGAUCAACCCCUUUAAUCAUUUUUUAUUUUUGGAUUAAUACUAUUAUUACCUUAUAGGGACCACUCAAUCAUAGGGAUAUUAUUUAAUCCUAGAGGGGACCGCAAUCAUCCCAACCAUACAAUUCUUAAUCAAAUGGUCAAAAAUUCGAAAACAUCAAAUCCUCUAUAUUUUUGAUAGCAUAGUAGUUCUACUCUCUCUCUCUCUCUCUCUCUCUCUCUCUCUCUCUCUAUAUAUAUAUAUAUAUAUAUAUUAAAAAUAUAUAUAUAUAAUAUAUUUUAAUUAUAUAUAGGCCGAGUGAAUAAUCUCAGUUUAGUUUAAAUUAGGCCAAUGUUGUUGGUCUAUAAAAACAAAUCCAAUAGACAAAUAAAAGAGCAAAAUUUCACUAAAUUUAUACAUUUUUCUUUUCUUUCUUUCUUUCACAGAGCUCUAAAUUUUCAAUAUAUUUCUCUCUUUCUCUUUUUCUGUCUCUCACCCUAAGUGGCCAAGCCGGAAGCCAUCCAAGUUACCAACUAACAGCAUAUGCCCACCGUUGACUACCUUACUAUUAAUUGUAUGCUUGAGAAAAUAUACAGAAUAUUUUUAAAAUAAAAAAUUAUUAUUCAUAUCAUAUUUUAAUUUUAGUUAUAUAUGAUUGGAUAGUUUAAUCCAAUAUUUAUCUAUAUAAUUUAUUUAUUUUUGACUAAAUAAUAUGGAGAUUGAAGGCGGAAGAGAAGACGUGUGAGGCUGAAAAGAUUAGAUAUUUAACUCAUAAAUUAUUUUUCUUCAUAUUUUAAUAUUAUAUUUCAUAUAAUUAUUUUGUCUUUUGAACUAUUAGACAUAUUUUUGUAUCAAAUUAUAGAUAAUGUUCUAUACAAAUUAAACUAUUGAUCGUAUAAUGUUGAGAAUUUCAAGCGGCUCGUUUAGGACUCGAGCUCGCUCGACUCGAAAUUAGGCUCGCUCGAGCUCGGCUCGAAUUAAUUUCAAUCCAAGCUUGAGCUUAAAUUUAGGCUCGAAAUUAAUUUCAAGCCGAAUUUGAGCCGAGGUAAGCUCGCUCGAGCUCGGCUCGUUUCCACCCCUAAGAUACAUAACUCCAAAAGAAAAAAAAAAAAAAAGUACUCUGUGGUCCCCUUCUUCCACUUUGAUGCUUUCAAGACACAAAGCAACUUCGAAGAAAGAUGCGUUACGCGAGAAAAACGUAUUGGUUUUCUACGGAUAUUUUUCACGCCGUGUUAAACAAAUUCGUAUAUAUUAUGCCGACAUAAUUCAAAAUUGGCCCUCAUAUUUUCCCCAAUUAUAUGUAGCAUCAGUUGACGCGCCCACUGAUUUAUAUAACAGUGUAUUUUGUUUCCAUCAUCUGGAUAGUAACUAUCAACUUGGGCAUCCAUCAUUUUGCUUUCAUUCCAUCGCCGUCGAGUCCAAGUUUUGCUUUCAUUCCAUCGCCAUCGAGUCCAAGUCGAGCAGAGUUACGCCGUAAGACACGCAACAUUAGAUUAGAAAGGGAUGUGCUCUGUAUAGUGAACUCCUAGCAGUUGAUUUCGACAAUGUCGGGAAAUGCCUAAUGGGAUCGAAGGAAUAUCGCCUUCUUCAGAAGUUAAAAUGUCGUUUAUUUAAUAGCGCUGUCGACCAGUUGUAAUAACUGUUAACACUUGCAUAACUUUCCAUCCGAAUCUUCAAAAAUCAGUUGAGAUUGAAGUUGUAAUUUUCCAAACUCUACAAUGACUUAGUAGCGAAAAAUUCGUUCUUCGUAUAUGUAGCUGUUAAGGAACACCGUUUGGUUUAGAUCGAAUUACUGAAUCAAUUCGCAUAGCUAGCACUAGUGAGAACCGAAUAAACUGAAAUAGUGAAAUUAGGUAAAUAUAUAUUAGCCUUUGAUGACAAUCAAAUAGCGCAAUGCUUAACCGCCACUACUGUCGUGUAAAAAACAUUAACAAAUACGACUAAUCGUCUCAUACAUAUGAGUGUGAACUAAAUCAAAUUAUGUUACUACGGCAAAUUCUAUUUUAAAAAAAGUUCAAUCAAAUCGAACCAGCUGGGAAGAGAAGAUUGUAAAGAAGCAAUAUUAGAGGUUACAGAAAAACAAAAGUAAGAAUUUUUUUCCACACAAGUGUGUGAACAGUAAAAAGGGAUAAAAAAAUUAUGUGCACGAAAUCGUAGAUAAGCUAGGCUCCACAGAGCACCAUUGUCCUGAGUAAUCCCCACCGUUCAAUCUUCAAAAAUUCCGACGGCCCUGAUCUACCAAGCCGUCUUGUGGGUGGGGCCCACUUCGAUCUGGUGGCGUAAAUGGAAAAAAAAAAAAUCUAGAAUGCACCGGUUAUAUCAGUGUUAUAUUAGUGACGUGGUGUUUCCGACCAAAAAUUUAUCUGUUCUAUCAUAAUUAUAAAAGAUAUUUUCAUUAUAUAUAUUUUUAGAAAAAUAUAAUUAAUUUAUUUUUUAUGAUAUUUAGUGAAAGUAUGAUGCGCAAUCAUUGUCGCGCCCGAAACGGCUUCUUCGAAACGCAGUGAAAGCCGCACCUACAGCUGUUUUCCGGCUGAUAACGGCUCGAUAGUAACAGAAUCCCGAAUCCGUGCUUUCUGUGACUCCUGCCACGGCCACCCCAAAGUACCUCUUAUUGAAAGUUUGUGUCUUGGUCCACUUGUAGUACCAUAAUAUACUAGUUAAAAAAUCCGUGCUAUACGGACCGUCUCUAGAACAAGUGGCAAAGAGUUUGGUGGUUGAUACUGAGACCUAAGUUCGAAUCCUAAUUAAUUCACAUUUCUAGUUAAGUUUAUUUCUAAAUUAAAUAAACAAAACGGAUAGCGUGCUACCUAUCUCUCUCAAAAAAAAAAAAAAACAAAAACCCGUGCUAUACCCAUCGACAUCUCUACUUCUGAGAUCCUAAAUUCAUAAUUUUGUGUUUUAAUUAUAAUUACUAUAAAACGGUAAAAAUAUAUUUAUUUAUGUCUAAUUAUAAUUCAACCACAACCCAUCAAAAUUUCAAUUUUUAAUUUUAAUUUUAAUUUUAAUUUUUAAAUUUAUUUUGUAUUUUUUUUUCAAUAAACUCCAUAAUAAAUAAGAAGUGUUAGAAAGAAAAAAGAAAAGAGAGAGAGAGAGAUAGGAGAGGGUCCCCAACAGCGAAAAAGCAAAAAAAAAAAAAAAAAAAAAAGCCCGUGCAGGCUCGAGGUCGCGCCGGCUUCGCGCCCUGCGCGCCGGCCCGCCCGCCCACGCAACUCGCGCCACCCCCCACGCACCUGCGCCGCACCCCGCACCAGCGCCACCGGCCGCGCCUGAGCGCCCGCUGCCCGCUCGCGCCCGCCCCUCCGCGCCCGCGCUGCACGUGGCGGGCCAAAGAACUUCAAAUUCCAAUUCAUAAGUAUAUAAAUGUCAGUUUAAUAAUCUCAUAAUAUUACCGAUUUUUUUUUAGACAAAGAUUUGUUGGUUGAAUAUCUGAAAUUCUAAAUUCAAAUCAUAGUUGAUUCACAUUAAUUCACAUUUUCCAGCUAAAUUAUAUUUUUAAAAUAAAAUAAAUAAAGUGGGUACAUACUAAAAUUUCAAAUACCAUUAAGGUGUAUCAAGUUAGUAUCUUGUAAUUUUAUUUUUAUUUUUCGUCAGCUUUUUUGUUAAUACUUGUUAAAUAGUAUAUACAAAAAAACUUCAGAUAUUACAUCUAGGUUUAUCGAAUAUUUACUUUAAUACUUUUUAGUUUUAACUUUAUCACUGAUUUAAUAAAAAAAACUAGUAAAAUCGAUAAUAAAAAAAUAAAAAAUAAAAUUACAUGUCACUAAAUUAAUAUACUAAAAUGAGAAAGUAUGAAACCAUAGGUGCAGUAUUUAAAAUUUUUUUAAAAAAAUAAUUUUAUAAUUUUUUUGUUUAUAAGAAAAUAAAAAUAUUUAUAGUAACAUACAAUAUACUAUAUUUAGGUUUUUUGAGCGUGUAGAGAGCCUGCUAUCUAUUUUUUUUUAAAAAAAUAAAUAAAUAAAAAUAACGUAUCGUGAACCCAGAGAUCUGAUCCAUUGAGAAUGUACCACGUGGCGACGACACAGAUCUCCACGCGGAGGACCCUAUUAAAAAGCGAGGGGUCGCAAUGCCAAAACUAGCCCGGUCCCCGUAAUUACUCUCGUCUGGGGCGGAGUCCCCCGUAACGCUUUCCCACAUCCGCAUCCGCAGCAAUGAUAGCGGCUGUGGCGGCGGCGGCGGCGGCGGAGGCGGCGGAGCCCUGGCCGUCGAUCGAGUCCACGAGGCGUGCAUCGGACGGCGCCUCCGGAUCCCCGCUCCCGAACCGAGCGGGCUUGGUGGCGCGCGUCCCGCCACGUCGCGUCAGCCAGCCGCCGCUCGAUUUUUAAAUUAAAUAACCCCUCCCCUCCGGGAUAAGGAGCUGCAUGCAAUUUUGCGACCAGGCCCCUGCCGAAUGUACUAUUUUGUACCGCGCAUCUGCAAAACCUAUAUAUACUAGUGAAGGCCCGCGCUUCGCUGCGGAAGAUUUACGUAUUUUUUAAAAUAUUUUGAACAAAUUAAUAUAUUUCUAUAUUUAUAUUGUGACCAUUUAAUUUUAAAAUUUAAAUUUUUUAAUUUUCAAAUCUAAUCUUAAAUUUUAAACUUUAAAAAAUUAAAGUGCUAAAAAAAAAAAUUAUUUAAAUAAAGAGGAAUAAAAAAUAAUUUGAAAAUUGAAGAGAGCAGAGAGAGGGAAAAAAACAAAAAGAGCAUUGUCCGCGCCGCGCCGCACCGCACCCCGCCCCGCGCCACUUUCCUGCGUUUUUUUAUUCCAUAAAUUAAGAGAAAAUAAUUAAAGAAAGAGACAAAAAAAUACAAAAAAAAUUAGAAAAAAUGUUAAUUUUACAUUAAAAGCAAAUAAAUAGUAAUUUUGCUCUUAUUUUGGGCUUUCGUAAAAUAUUAUUAUUCAGGACCAAUCAAAUUUGAAGGGGACUAUUAUUAUCUGAUCUCAUAAUUUUUUAUCCAAGAAUUAAAAAGUUGAAAAUACCGACUGCCUUAUGCUUUCGAUAGCACAACAACUUUACACAGAAGUAUAUAGAUAGUAUUUCAUAGAUGCCACCGUAUAUAUUAGCAUACAUAAUAAUUAGCAGUUUAACAUAUACAUAAAAAUUUUGGCUAAUAUUUUAUCAAAUACAAAAAGAGAGAGAGAUGUAUAUAACUCGCACAAUUUGAGAUCGCAAUCAAAACUCUAAAAACAAUGACAAAAAAAACAUUUUGACAAUUUGUUUAAUUUCCUAACAAAAAACUCCAUUAAUUAUUGCGUUAAAACUCAGAAAGGUUUGAGACUUAAGUUACCGUUGUUUGGAAAAAAAAAGAAAAAAGAAAGAGAAAAUAGAUGAGAGUGAGAGGUGCUUCACCAACCUCUUGCAUGAACUGAACAGAGAUGCCCGAGCUGUAGCAUCCUUUGCUUGUGGAGAUCUCAUAUGCGGCCUCCUCUCCUCCUCUCACUUCCUCUAACCCAUUCUCAACUUUAUUUCCACUCUUUCUCUCUGGUUCUCACUCACUCAUACACACACACACACACUCUCUCUCUCUCUCUCUCUCUCUCUCUCUCUCUCUCUCAUCUUNAGUACCUAGAAAAUAAAUUUUGUGAUUUUUCGAUAUCAUUUGCCUAGUGAUCGAAGGGGCUCAAAAUUAAUAAUUUUAACGGCCGUGGUGAGCCGUUUGCAAGUUUAAUGAUGUAGAAAUAUUCAAAUCAUAUGAAAUUUUGAUAGAAAAUUCUUUAUACCAUAUAAAAUAAGAUCAAUAACUUUGAUCUAAAAUUUUAAUGUCAUAUCAUCAUAUUUUGUAAGAUUUUUAUUUUCAGUCGUUGAUUUUGAGCCAUUUCGAUCACUAGGCAAAUUAUAUCGAAAAAUCACAAAAUUUAUUUUCUAGAUACUUCAAAUACUCUAAAUCAAGUCUAACAGAGUCGAUUGUCGAUUCGAAAGUCCGAACAUCGAAAACAACUUGGAAGUACGGAGCGCUCCGUGCUUCCAGAAGCAUACCAGACACACUCAGAUAUAUGUACUUUCUGGAUAAAGUUAAAAAAUAGGAAAAUGGGCAAAUUUCUAGUCAACAGAGGUUUUUUUUUGCUUUUUUUUUUAAUUCUCUAUUACAUGCAUUAAGGAUUUGACUUAAAACGUUAUAAAAAGUCAAAGUUGUAGUCAACAGAGUUUUUUUUUUCUCCUUCCUCUCCUAUUACAUGCAUUAAGGAUUUGACUUAAUUGAGGUUCUAAUGGCUUAAUUAAGAUAAUAUUUGGGAUAAGAGUAUCUAGUGGAGCUAGAAUUUACCAUGUGAUGAGCCCCAUGUUAGCUACUUGGUUGCACAACUUUGCACAUUUUGUUCUCAAUCAUGGUCGAGUCGUCGCGAUUCACGAGCUUAGAGAUAGCAAUUUGGACAUUUAUUGUAAAGAUAGCAUAAAACGGUGUCAAAGUAUAAAAAGAAAAGUGAAAUUUUGGUUCGACGUGAUUAAUUUAAUACAGUUGUAAAUAGAAUAGCAACUGUCAAAGUACAAAAUACAAAUUGUAAUGCAUAGUUUCAAUAAUUUUCUUCUACCAAUUUGUUCUGUUCAGUAGAUCCCCACAUCGAGACCAUCAAAUUAAUCUAUCGUUCAUACUGUUUUGAGAAUUUUCAUGUUUACAGGCCUAUUCGUGCCUCUCCAGCUCGCCGCAUCACGAAUACUUUACCCCAAUCCUAACACACUAGAAAAACUUGGCUUCAUUAUAAUAAGAUGUCGAAUAGUUAGCAAAUCCCUUUUUAUUAAUUUACAAAUAUCAAAGUUCGCAAUAGUUGCCAAUGUACUUAAAAUAGCGUAUAACUCACUCCCCGACAAAACAAUAGUUAAAAUUUUCCCUAUCAUACCCCAAUACUUAACUAUGUUUACAGAUCAAUGAGUGAUGGGAAACGACAUACCACAUUGGACAUCAUCACAUGCAUCAUGCAUGCAUGUAUGGUGUUGUCAACAUGCAUGCACUAUUCCAUGACUUCGCGCUCCAAGGGGCGCGUAUUAAUUGAUUGUGUACGAGUACAACUUCACCCUCUUCUCUCUCUCUCUGAAUGUAUCUCUGCGUCUACUAUACCUUUCAAAUCAUAAGUAUACGAAAAUCAAUAUAAUGUGAGAUCCGCACGGUUCAAUCUUAUCGGUCCUUUUACUUUGUACAAAUGACAUAAUGUUAUACAAUCUUAUACGCUUGUACUUACGCACGGAUGUAACAAAUUUUUGUGUAUGGUACUGUAGAGAGGUGGUGGAAAUUAAAGUCUAGAGAGAGAAAGUGCGGAGUGAGAUGGGUAUGUAUUCAAGACCCGCUCACUCAAUCAAUAAGGACCCAAUCAUACGCUCCACCACUAGAAAGUCCCCCAAGCCAAAAUAAGAAGAGCGAAACCAAAGGGCGCCUUGUGAGAGAACCCAUUUUUUUCGUUAUAUUUGGAAAACGUAAGCAAAAGGAGAAAGUGCUUUCUUUAUAUAGACUAUAUGUAUCAAUUAUAUAUUAUUUUCAUGGGUUUUUUGUUUUUUGUGUUUAAUCUUUCUUGUUAUAAUAAUAAUUAUUACUAUAGUUAUUUCCUAACCUUUUCUUUCUUCUUCUUUGGCUCUCUCGCUUGCUCCCACACGUGAUUCAGGAGAAAGUGAAACGUUGUGAAUGAGCGCGUUAGAGAGAGAAAAACAUAUAUACAUAUAUCUACAUAGUGAUACUAUAUAUAUAUAUAUAACCCCCGCAGCGGAAAAGCUGUGAUCCUUCGCCUAUAAAUCACCCUUUCUCCAUGAACUUAGAAUUGCUUUCAUGCUUCUCUCCUACCUCAUCACCUUCCGUUACCCUCUGAGAAGAGGAAGAGAAAGAGAAAGAGAAAGAUAAUCACCUCCUCUUCUAUCUCUCCAUCUAUCUAUCAACCAAUCUAUCUUUGUAUUUUGCGUGGAAAAUAUAAUAGUCGUAGAGAAUGAAAGAAGAAGAGGUGAGAGUGCUGGUGAUCAUCAGGGAGUACAACCCGAAGACCGACUGCGACGCGGCGCUGGCGGUGGACCGGAUGUGCGAGGUGGGGCCGAGCGGCGAGAUGUCGCUCUUCACCGACCUCCUCGGCGACCCCGUCGCUCGCAUCCGCCACUCUCCGGCCUAUCUCAUGCUGGUAUAUUAUAUAUCUGCCUAAUUAUAUUAUUAUCUCAUUUCUUAUUAUUAUUAUUAUUAUUUUUACAUUUCCACGCUUCCCUUCAUAUGUAUAUAUAUAUUUUUUAUAUAUAUUUUUUUAUAUAAUUGAAUUAAAAUUUUGUUAGGUAGCUGAGACUGGUGGGCCGGGGAGACAAAUUGUGGGUCUCAUCCGCGGUUGCGUCAAGACCGUCACCUGCGGUAAGAAGAAGAAGAAGAAGGAGGAGAACAGUGCAGCAGGCACUGACACCGACGCCGACGCUGACGCGGCGAUGGCUCCAGUCUACACCAAGCUGGGAUACCUGCUCGGCCUCCGCGUCUCCCCUUCGCAUCGGUUGGUAAAUUAAGUUAAUUUGUAAUAAUUUUUAGAGAUUUAGAUAACUAAUUAAUGUGCAUGUGGGAAUGCAUGUAUGUAUGUAUAAAUAUAGAAGGAUGGGGAUAGGGAUGAAACUGGUGAGGAAGAUGGAGGAGUGGUUCGGGGAGGAGGGGGCGGAGUACGCGUACAUGGCGACGGAGAAGGACAACGCGGCGUCGAUCGAGCUGUUCACGGGGCGGUGCGGGUACACCAAGUUCCGCACGCCGUCCAUCCUCGUGCACCCGGUGUUCGCCCACCGCCUCCGCAUCCCCCGCCGCGUCUCCAUCGUCCGCCUCCACGCCCGCGACGCCGAAGCGCUCUACCGGAAGCGCUUCGCCGCCACGGAGUUCUUCCCCCGCGACGUCGACGCCAUCCUCGACAACCCGCUCUCGCUCGGCACCUUCGUCGCGGUGGUCGAAGAGGAGGAGGGGCUAGGGUUAGGGUUCCGGUGGAGGGGGGCGGAGGAGUUCGUGGCGGCGCCGCCGGGGUCGUGGGCGGUGGCCAGCGUGUGGGACUGCGGGGGGGUGUUCCGCCUCGAGGUGCGGGGGGCGUCGCGGCUGCGGCGGGCGGCGGCGGCGGCCAGCAGGGCGGCGGACAGGGCGGCGCCGUGGCUGGGGGUGCCGGCGGUGCCCGACGUCUUCCGGCCCUUCGCGGCUUGGUUCGUCUACGGGCUCGGCGGCGACGGCCCCGCCGCGCCGGCCGCGGCGGCGGCGCUCUUCCGCCACGCGCACAACAUGGCGCGGGGCCGCGCCGCCGUCGUCGCCACCGAGGUCGCCGCGUGCGAGCCCCUGCGCCGCGCGAUCCCCCACUGGCGCCGCCUCUCCUGCGCCGAGGACCUCUGGUGCGCCAAGCGCCUCUCCCAGGUCCCUGACGACGACGACGAAGACGAAGAAGAAGAAGAACUCGGCGAUUGGACCAAAUCGGCGCCGGCUCCGUCCAUCUUCGUCGACCCAAGAGAGGUAUAAAAAUUUUCCCCUCUUUUUAUAUUUAGUAGAUUUUAAAAAAAAUGGAAAAAAAAGUGGGGGGGGUGUAUGUUAUGUUAUGAACUGUAGAGAUGAUUCAGGGAGGGGAGAGGGGGAGUAGUGACGUGGCAAUUUUGGAAUUCCGCCCUGGUGACGGGGGGAUUGUUACGGGGGGGUGUUGACUUUGGCUUUUGUUUUGGGGGUUUUAAAAAAGGAUUAUUACUACGUAACGGUUUUUGGGUGUUUUGUGGGAGAUGGGAUGGGAGAUCCCGCGGAUUAUGUGGAGCAAAAGUUAUGCCCCGUUCGUUUGAUCUGGAACGUCCGUUUUGAAUCCAACGGCUCCCCUUUUUGGGAUUUGAAUUUCAGCUCUUUCUUUCCUAUUUUCAAAUCAUUAUUCAUCAUAUCACCGUUUUGGUAAUUUUAUUUUAUUUUUACUUAAAUUGUGUGCAUUAUUUGUGAUGAAGUAAACUACUCUAUCCAUCCAACAAAUGAUAAUUUUUUGAUCUCCAAAACCGACAAAUAAAUUGAAAGUUUGCGAUUUUGAUUAGACCUAUACUAACUAACGAAGUUUGAUACGACAACUGAGGAGACAAAGUUCUUAAUGGCCGCUAUUUAUUAUUCUUUUACGGAGCUAGUAAAAUGAAAAACAAAUUGAAAAAUUACUCCAUCGACAAAAAAACAAUGCGAUUGCUGAGAAAGGUGUACCUCUACCUCUCUACUUCAAUUCACAAAUCAAGUGAAAAGUAAGCGAAGUUGCGUAGCCGGACAAUCCAAACACCCAAAUCUUUUUAUGUGGAGAUCUUUUCCCCUAUCUACCAUAUCUCGUGUAAAUGUGAAUGUAAUCAAUGCUUCCGCAAAGUGCAACUAGAUAAUAAACGCUCACAGGAAAAACAACACAAACUAAUCGCCAAAUUAAAGGUAGCUUUUGAUCACUAACCACUAAACCACACUCAGAUCAAAAUCGCAUUAUUCUUAAAACACUUUUGCGUCGACUCUUCGAGUCGGUGAGCCCGGCCGUGUGGAGCCCCAUUAAUCCACACCACUUUCACUCAUAACUUUCUCACAAACCUUUUGACUAAAGGUAAUUAGAGCAAGGAAUUAGUGUCAACGACGCUAAUAAGGCGACCAAUCCAAUUUCGUAUUUAGUCUAAACCUACCUACUUUUGACUUGAUUCGAAGCCCCAAAUUUGUACAUUCCAAGUAAUUGCUUGAGCCUAUUAGUUGUACAUGCCUAGUUGUGCAAAUCAACAAGAUGCUUAUACCUAAACUCACCUUUUAGCAUUUAUUUAAUGCUUAUUUUGUCCUUAAACUUGUUUUUCUUAUCUAUGCAACUAGCAACCUGUUGGAUGGUAAAGCUCUCGAUCACAUUAGCAAUUUUUUUAAAAAAAAGGAUAUUGGACCCAAGUCUCAGUCAUUCUAGAGUUCAUUGAAUGGAAUUUUUAAUCUCCGUUGACAAAAAAUCUGCGAAAAUUGCAUCGACGCGUGUAGAAAGAAAUUAAGGAAGUAAUGGGUAGGUUAGAAAUUGAGUGAUCAACUCAAUUAAAGAGGAAGCUUUUAGUUAGGCCCUAUAUAGGACAGGAUGCAACCAACUUCUCUUUUUUGAAAGUAAACAUUUGACAAUUUAAACAAGUUCAUUUAUUAAACAUGAUCACAUUUUAACAAAACUAUAUAUAUGCUUACAAUAUUAGUUAGGAAACUAGUAGUACAAUCUCAGUUUCAUGUUUGCAUGCAUAAUAAUAAUAUUCUAGUUUAAGUUCAACAUCUUAUGAGAAGUUUAUAAUGGCGAUAAAGGCUUUUUUCUUAUACCAUGGGGGCAUGUUUGUUUGGGUGGAAGUAGGUUAGAAGUGCAGAGAAGGAAAGUUGUUUUUACCAUAAAUGAUUACUUUCAUUAUUUGAUCCGUCGUAAAAUAGUUAUAGUCGAAAUUCAAGUUAACUUGAAAUGACGUAAUUGACUUCAACCCAUCGUGGGUCGAAGUCAAUUACGGUAAAGAGAGGUGAAGAAAAAUUAAUAUUUAAUUAUGACACUAAUUAUUUUUUUAUUCGGUUGGCAUAUUUAAAAUAUGAUAAAAAUUGAUUAGUUAAAUUUUAAUAUUUUUUUUAUUUAGUUUGUACAAUUAAAAUAUGAUAAAAAUUGAUUAAUUAAGUAUUAAUAUUUUUUUAUUUUAUAAUUUUAUUGUUGUAUUACUAUAAUUUAUGUAUAAACAAUAUAUUUUAAAUUUAAAGCUAAUUAUAUAAAAAUAUAAUUAUAUUAUUUUUAUUUAUUAAAUUAAUUAUUAUUUAUAUAUAAAUUAUAGUUUUAUAUCAUACAAUUCUUACUAAAUAAACAGCAGAACUAAUGAAAAUUUACUUUCAUAACUAUGAAGCAAACAAUGGAGAAGAAGGAAUUUUCAGGAAACUCCACUUCAAUUCAAAGUCCAGUUUCAGUAAAACAAACAUGCUCCAUAUGUAAGUGUAUCAAGGAGGGAUUCUUAAGAACUAUAUAUAAUUUUUGGUAUUUCAUCCAUCAUGGAACACACCAAAGAUCAGAAAAAAAAAAAAAAAAAAAGGGGUGGAGAUCAUGAACACUCAUUUAAGACUUGUAGGGUGUGUUGUUGACCCUUUACCAUUUAUUCCAAAUUCCACUUCCACAUAACACACCUGAGGUACCAAAGCAAUAGUGAAGGAGAUCGACCUUUUCUGGGGUAUCUAUCAUACUUUGGACUUCAUACCAAGAAAUAUCCUGUUCCAAUAAACUUUUUUAUCCUCUCCUUUCUACCUGCCAUAGUCACAAGAGAGAGAGAGAGAGAGAGAGAGAGAGAGAGAGAGAGAGAGAGAGGCAACAAGAACAAGCAAACCCCACCCACCUCAAAUUUAGCCCACAAACCUCCAAAACUCUAUCAUGUACAAGUGGAAUCAAAAUCUCACUUGCAUAUAAACAUAGGGCUCCACAAGACAAAGAUAAUACAUAUUGUGACAAGAAAGUCUUUUCUGCAGCUGAUAUAUCUCAUACAUACAAACAAUAAUAUCAAUCUCUUGUACAUAAAUAUACAAAUAAAAUUUUUGGAUUGCAAUGCACCUAACCUCCAUGAUAAUGCAUGGCCUACUUAGUGUUGAAUAUAAAAUAGUAAAAUAUCAUUCUAUGACAACUUUUAAGUUUUUAGUGCUGUCGAUUAUUUCAUGUAUUAUUUGAGCAAUAGAUCUUAACUUUAACUCCUAUCAAAUAUUUUCAAAUCGAAACUUUUUACAUAGCUAAAGCUUUCACACACGCAUAUGUGACAGAGGUUCUCUAAGCUUGAGUGGGUGAUCGGUUGAAUAGUAUGAUCUAACGGAUAGAAAUGAUCAAAGAGAUAGAUCUAACAACCAAAAAGUGUGUGGGUGGGGGUAUCUAUCAUCCUAACCGAAAACUACUAUCAUCCUAACCGCACAUCUCUUCAUACGACAGCCGAAAACUUAUGAGUAUAAAAAAAACUAUACUCAUAAAGUAUAGUAGCCCUAAUCUAUAUAUCUAUUCUUUCGAGAAACGCUAAAAAGUGCAUAACCCUCGGUGGUGUAUAAAUUAUACAUCUUAUCUAUCCUAAAAAUUGAACUGCUUUACUAGUUAGUGAGAUAAUUUUUUUAAAUUAAGUAAAGUGUAUGAUUUAUAUUUAUUUUGGAAUGUGCAGGUAGCAUUGGUCUUUGUUUUUUUUUUUUUUUGUUUUAAACGUGGGUGGCCUAAGAGGAAGAAGCCAACAAGGUCCCACUACUAAAACUUGACAAGAGAAAAAGGACCAAAUAGUGGGUCCAAUAAUUUAUCUCUUUAAUUAAUUAAAAGAAGUUGUUGGGUCCAAUCACAAUCUGAUGAACACACUGUUAGUCCCCACUCUCACUGCUCCCAAUGGUGCUUUUGACUCAAAAAGAUACUCAUUUGGGUGGUGGACUUUGGGGCAUUGGGAGAAAGUUCUCUGUCCCAUCAGCCAAUUUCUAUGCAAAGCAAGUAAAAUAAGCCCAAGCUGGAGUACAAAGCACUUUUGGCCUUUGAAAUUGGGUUUUCACUCUGUUUGGGAGUCAAUCAAAUACAGUGGGAAAAGCUCCCAGGGAUGCCAGAAGCUGCAGCCUCCAUUUGGAUAGAACAAAAUUAGGGUAAAAAAAAAAAAAAAAAAAAUUUGGCGGUUGGUAUCCGAGACCCAAGUUCGAAUACUAGUUGAUUCAUAUUUUCAGCUAAGUCUAUUUCUAAAUGAAAUAAACGAAGCGGAUAGCGUGCUACCUAUCUCUCUCUCAAAAAAAAAAAAAAGGGCAAAAAACAGUGUGUGUGUGUGUGUGUGUUUUCUGGUAAAAAUGUAUGCAACUAAUUUGAAAUUUAAUAAGUUGUUCGGAAAGAAUUAUCUAACUUUCAAAAACUUUGAUUUUACUAAUUAACUUAUUAUUAUUAUUAUUAUUUAACUGAUCAUUAACUUUAGAAGGUGUUGCAUGCAUCCGGUGCACUUGUACAUUCGUAGAGCGUUUUUUCAAUUAAAAGAUUUUUUUUGAAAAAUAGAUAGCAUGCUAUCCGGUUCGUUUAUUUUAUUUUACAAAUAAAUUUAACUGAAAAUAUGAAUCAAUUAUAAUUCAAGCUUAAAAUCUCGGAUACCAACCACUAAAUUCUUUCCCACUUGCGCUAGAAAGUGUCGGUCAAUUAAAAGUUGAAUAACUGAAUUAACAAUGUAACAUUCAUUUAUAGGAAAGUAAGGUAUGAUAUAUGCAUGAAUAUCUGGAGGCAUCAGGUGUGAGCAAUUACUUUAAUAAAGCAAAUCAAACUAUUUGAAAGCCUAUGUAUAAAAUUAAAAUUUUUAGAAGUAGGAUAGUCAUUUUCAAAUGCCCUAAAGUUGUGGUUACCACCAUACAAUUUCACAAUUUUUUAGGGAGGAGCGUAAAUUACUUAUGUGCUUCAUUUUCUUUAUCUCCUUCACAAAUCCCUUUUGUAUUGCUUUGAGAUGUGCUAAAGUUUUUGCCUUUAUUAUUGUAAUUGGAGGUUUCGCAGAAAUAUAAUUUAGAUGGAACUAUUUAAGGAAACUCUAUAAUUAGGUUUUUCAGUUAAACUUCAACUCGUUCCCAUGCGGUUUAGUGCAUUUUUUACUUUGUCAUUCCCUUUUCGAAAAGGUUAUAUUAAACUAUCUUAUAGUUUUAUUUUUAUUUCACUAUAAAAACCUAUCUUUCAAUAGGAUAAUAAGUGAUACUUUUUUCAAAUCAUAGGACAUAGAAAUGCAAAUUAUAGGAUUAUAUAGAGUAGGGCUGCUGUGCUCUUAAGAGCACAGCAGCUCCUGUGCUAUUAAAGCAUCCACCAUCCAUCUAAAUAGAUGGAUGGCUGAGAUUAAGUGGCCUUUUAAAAGGGGAACCCACAGUUAGAUGGGUUAGAUUUAACGGACUUCUUCUCUCUCCUCUUUUUUUUGUCUUUUCUUUUUUUCCUUUUCUCUCGUCUUCUUCCCAGGCUAUCUCCCUCCCUCUACAGUGAAUGCUUCACCUCUUCUCUUCUCCCCCAAUCUCUCUCCCUCUCCCUCUCCUGUGGAAUCGUGGAGCUCCUCCGUAUCUUUGAGCGCCGCCGGAGACGCCGGAGAAGAGGGGGAGGAGGAGGAGAAGGGGGAGGAGGGAGGAGGGUUGUAGAGGCGUAGGUGUUGGGCGAGGAGGGCAAGCCGCGCGCUAGGAUAUUUGGGGAGAGUUUGGGGGCCGCGGAGCGGCGCGGGGGAUGACGACGCUGGAGAGUGCGACAGCGUCAGAGAGAUGAUCUCAUAGGAACAUUUUUUUUUUUUNAAGCAUCCAUCAUCCAUCUAAAUAGAUGGAUGACUGAGAUUGAGUGGUAUUUUAAAAAAGGAACCCACAGUUAGAUGGGUUAGAUUUAACAGACUUCCUCUAUCUCCUUUUUUUUGUCUUUUCUUUUUUUCUUUUCUCUUUCUCUUUCUCUUUCUUCCUUUUCUCUUGUCUUCUUCCCAGGCUAUCUCCCUCCCUCUACAGUGAAUGCUUCACCUCUUCUCUUCUCCCCCAAUCUCUCUCUCUCUCCCUCUCAUGUGGAAUCGUGGAGCUCCUCCGUAUCUUUGAGCGCCGUCGGAGACGUCGGAGAAGAAGGGGAGGAGGAGGAGAGGGAGGAGGGAGGAGGGUUGUAGAGGCGUAGGUGUUGGGCAGGAGGGCGAGGCGCGCACUAGGAUAUUUCGGGAGGGUUUGGGGGCCGCGGAGCGGCGCGGGGGAUGAUGACGCCAUGGAGAGUGCGAAGAAGAAGCAGCGUCGGAGAGAUGAUCUCAUAGCAACAUUUUUUUUUUUUUUUUAAUUCGGGUCUUUCCUGUUCAUAGUACAAAGCACACACGUUUGUUUUGUGCUUUCUUUAUUUUUUUUUCUUUUUUUCUCUUUUUUAUUGAUGUGGUGGGAACUAAAUUUGAAGAACGGUUAUUGAUUUGGUGGUGUUACGCUGUGUUGUUAUUUGUCAAUAAUUUCUCCGUUUACUAUUUUUUAAAAAAUUUGCUUGGAUACACAAUUAUUCUAUUUCAAAAUAAAAAUUAUUUAAUCAGAACAAAAUAAAAUUAUAAUUUUGAUAAAAUUUAUUGACUUAAAUAAACAUCAUAAUAAACCCUUUUGUUGAGUUUUCUAUCAUGCACUUGGUGAAGAAUUUCGAUUUUGAUUUGUAGAAAUGGUGAAGUUGAAGUGUUUGCGGACGUUCUCAAAUUCCUCAAACAACCAAGUUGCAAAUUUGUAAGAUUUUUCUGCUCAAAACUUCAGUAUCAUUGGAUAAAAUGGCUAUCACUGUAUCAGGGGACUCUUGUUUUAUUUGCCUUGUUGGCAAGUCGCAGGCGCUAACCGAAGUUCAUCCAGAAAUUUCAAUCUUCCUUAGAUUGUUUGUGGAAUACGAUAUCAUCGUUUUGUCACUCUCGUGCAAGAAAAUGUCGCUAUGCUUCUUUUGUUCUUAUAUCUCUUAGAACAUCUCAGAUUAUAGUUAAAAAAUCUUUUUCUCUCUUCUUUUUUUUCNAAUUUCGAUUUUGAUUUGUAGAAAUGGUGAAGUUGAAGUGUUUGCGGACGUUCUCAAAUUCCUCAAACAACCAAGUUGCUAAUUUGUAAGAUUUUUCUGCUCAAAGCUUCAGUAUCAUUGGAUAAAAUGGCUAUCACUAGCUUUAUUUGCCUUGUCGGUAAGUCGCAGGCACUAACCGAAGUUCAUCGAGAAACUUCAAUCUUUCUUAGAUUGUUUGUGGAAUGUGAUAUCAUCCAUUCGUCACUCUCGUGCAAGAAAAUGUCACUAUGCUUCUUUUGUUCUUAUAUCUCUGCUUAGCGAUAUGACUUUAGAACAUCUCAAAUUAUAGUUAAAAAAAUCUUUUUCUCUCUUCUUUUUUUUCGGGAUAUUAUGUGGGUUGGGGGGUUGGCUGCAAAAUGUGGGGGGCGCUCAAAGAUACGGAGCUCCAUGAUUCCAUAGGAGAGGGAGAGGGAGAGAGAUUGGGGGAGAAGUGAGGAGGUGAAGCAUUCACUAUAGAGGGAGGGAGAUAGCCUGGGAAGAAGACGAGAGAAAGAAAAAAGAAAAGACAAAAAAAAAGGAGAGAGAAGUCCGUUAAAUCUAACCCAUUUAACUGUGGAUUUCCUUGUUAAAAGGCCACUUAAUCUCAGCCAUCCAUCUAUUUAGAUGGAUGGUGGAUGCUUUAAUAGCACAGGGGUUGCUGUGCUCUUAAGAGCACAGCAGCCCUACUCGGAUUAUAUAAUGCUACAUUAUGCAACACUACUAUAGUUAGCCAAAAAACAUAAAAAAAAAAAAAGAAUAUCCCUUUUCCUUUACGGUAAAAUAAAAAUAAACCCAUUAAAACAUGCUACACCUCAUGGGGCCAAAUUGAAGUUUAGCCUAAUCUUUGUUUUUCAAGAUACAUUUCGAGAAAAUCAAACACAUUCUUAGUAAAAAUACUUGUUCCAAAAGACAGGAAAAACAUGCAAAGACCCAACAAAAAUGUCAUUAUAACCCAAUCAGAAAGAAAAGCAUAGGGCCUGAUUCUCAAGAUAAAAAAAAAAAAGAGAAAAAAAAAACAUUGAAGUUGGUUUAAUUUAAGAUAAGAGGUCACAUAUAAGAUUUCACUGAUUUCAUAGCAACAGUUUACAGAAUAACAUCUGGAUGACUACAACCCAAAGCCACCUUCUCCUGAUAAUCUCCUACCAAAACCAUUACAUUUCCUUUGCUCUUUCAUAAUUAAACACAAAGUUGAGGUUUCAUUGCUCAAAAUGAUUUGUAGAACAGCUAAAACUGCUUCUUCCAGGCUUGUAAAGCAUACCGCAGCUUUUACGAAACAUAGUACUUAAUGCUUCUUGCAGGCGUAGACUUCGGCUCCUCGUGGUUGGCCGAUCCGGGGCUCCCGGACGUAUCCGAACUACUAUUCUCUCCGCCCUGCCCUUUGCUCGACAAGAUCUUUCCGAGUAUCUUCUUCGGUGUCGCUAUAACUUUCGGCUUCUCGUUCGAGCCCUUCCCACUUAAGUGCUUCUUGUUGGCCUCGUUGCUGCUGCUGCUUCUCUCGCUCCCUCCGCCGCGGCUCCCUCCUAGCUUCAUGGACUUGUCGACGGACUUUAGGUCUUCAACCCCAUUCCACUCGUCUUCGGUGGUGUUUGUCGUCCCGGCCGACCGCGAGCUCCCGUAGGAGGUGAUGCCGCCGCUGUCCGACCGGCAAUUGGCGGCGGCGGCAGCAGCGGUGGCACAAGCCCUGGCUUGCUCGUGGUAGAGGACUUGCACGGCCAUUCGCGAGGGGAGGCGCUCGUUCUGCACGGCGUGCCCGCAGGCAUCGGGCGACAGCCGCUUGCAGUCGAUCAGCCCGCACAGCUUCUUCCUGUCGCUCUUGUUCAUGCUCGGGUGCUCCUGCUCAUAUUUAGACGAAAGAAAGGCUCAUCAAAACCAUCGAUCAGACAGUCCAAAUGUAGUCACUAUAUCUCAAAACUCUGUCAUUGCAAUUUUAAGAAAAAUUCAGGUUCUCUGUAUGUUAGAGACCAAUCACAUGUUUUCCGUGCUGUUGUUUGUGUUUCUAAACUUUACAUCAAAGAAGAUUAGGAAAGUGUGUACAGAUUGCAAACAAUCUGCCAUUAGCAGCCCAGUUCAACAUCACAAAAUUUAAGGGGAAAAAAAAGGUUUCAAAAACGAAGCCCACAGGAUAUUAGUGCAAAAGUAGGCUAUACCACCCAAAGGGUUAUCUAAAGAUUAAUGCGAAUUUUGUACUAAGAGAAUAUUGCUAUAGAGAAAAUUGUUAAAUACCUUCAAAAACAUAUCAAUCGCGCGAUAAAGUCCAUCAUGCACCGCCCUGGAUUCAUUCGAUACCAUUUCAGCUAGAUCCACAAAUUUGGAAAGAGGUAGAUUCGGGUCCUUCGCAACCUCCGCAAGAUAACCAUCAACCAGCUUCGUCACGGCGACCAUGGAGGCACCUGAAACUAUACUUAGGCUCUUCAUUCCCUCGAGCUCUUCAGUAACCUCAGCGCACGAUUUAGCACUUCUGUUAUCCUGCAUGACAAAUUCCUCCACUAUAUUAAGAACCAUAUCAAUAUCAUAGAUUGUGUUCUCUCCUUCCACAGUAGGGAUCAAAAGGUCGGGCACGGAUGCUUCCUCCAACUGUCGCCCAAUCCGCUUAAUAAGUUCUCUCUUGCCCGCUUCUCCACUGCCCGACAAGCUCGCAACUCUCAGUAGCUUGAGAAGGAAACUGCACGAGACCGAACCUUUUCCGGGCGGUAAUAACCAUAUAAUAUUUUCUACGAGUGAUUGAAUUUUUACAUCUCCAUGGAUCAUAGAAGCUUUACUUAAAGAUGGGAGCCUUUUAUAUGUGUAAGCCUUUAAAGCUUCUCCAAUCACCUGUGGGGAAACUCUCCCCUUGGAUUUAAUGGCAGCUAUAACUUGCUUGAAGUAAUCCAAUUCGAGUUCGCUCAAGUCCUCAACCCACCAAUCUUUGGGCACUGACUGCUGCUUCUUAACGCCGUUCCAGUGUGAAUCGAAGCCAUUUUCAGAUGGAAGCUUCUUUCUGUUGUACGUGUACGACCAUUCGACCUUAGAAGAAUCAAUUGAAGCCUUGGAAGCUAUAGAAUCUAUGCAGUGGCUAACCAACUUGAGAUUUUCGGAGAAAGGUAGGAGAGGUUUUGUGGUCUGAAGAACAAUGAUCGAAUCUUUCCAGCUUCGGAAAAUGCUAGUGCUCAGAAAGACUUCGAUCUUGUAUAUAAGAUUUCCUUUCUCCACCGUCUCGUGCAUCUCCAAGUACUCAGCUGCACACCGCGCGGUGACAACAUUGUACGCAUUAAGGGUGACAGUGACGCCGUAACAGAAUUUGGCACAGAUCUCGAAGGCCACAGGACCACCCGGGAUGUCUGGAAUGUGAAUUUCGUCACCAUUUUCAUCACCGACCAACCUCUGCAACCGAUAACUCUUGGAAAGAAGCGGAAACUGCAUAUGUUAAGUAGAGUAGGGAAGGUAUAAAAGAACCAUCAGCACCACGAAUUGAAAAUAAGGACUAAUGAGUUUUUUCCACUAAGGAAUUUUGAACAGAAGAUUCUCUUUUUUUUUUUAAACCAAAUUAUUAUCAAUUUAACUAUAAGACUCAUAGAUUCUGGAAAAAAGAUUGCACACUAAGAUAAAGGAUAAUCAUGCAUAUUGAAACAAGCCGAAGCAAAAAAGAAAGUGUGGUAGCAAAACUAUUACUAACAGGACUAUACUACAAAAGCAAAUAAUUAUCUAGAAUCUUUUCUAGCUUUUAUUAAAUUAUCCGUUGCCAAAAGAACAAAUUCAAGCACACUGCUACUGUGUUACAGCGAACGAACCCUCUAUAAGUUGAAGCUAUUAGAGAACAGUGUUUUAUAUACUUUGCAUGCAAGGCUCGUUAUUGGCAUUUGCUUACAUUAUUCAUUAAGCAUGGUCGAAUUCAAACUCAAAACCUCUUGCUCUAAUAUCAUGUUACCUAAAAGAUAUAGUUAUCUACGAUAAAAUCGUAUAAUAAACAAUAUUCUAAAAAAAUAACACAGACACCGAUAGGCAUGAGACAUUUCAUUGGCCUCAACAUGAAAUCUGGAUUAAAUGGACAGAUAUUUUAUUUUUAAAUAAUAUAUAACUAGGAUAUAUCCAAUCCAAACUCUGCAUUCCUGGAUUGAUAUGAUGUGAAAUAACUCGAGCUUUUUCAAAAAUUGAAGGUAAUAAAGAACCUAUACUUGUCUUCUAACAAAAUGAUUUCCAGGAGAGCAAACAUUACCUUGUGUAGAUGGAAUUUCACGUCUCCUACAUGAACAAUGAUGUCAGUUGCUAAUUCACUUGCCACAAUCCUGCAAAAGAUGAAUUGUUCCAUCAUUAAACAAAUAGAAAAGAAAAAUGAAUUAAAUUAGUACAAAAACAUUACGUAAUUUUAGAGUAAUAUGUAGGCAUACUACUUUUAUCAGUAAAAGAAGAAAUGCUUGGAGAAGAUCCACUUUUGUCGGCCAAAGAAUAUAUAAAGAGAAAAUCUAGUACUAGUAUGCGUAGAGUUGCUAAAAAUUGCCCAGGAACACCAGUUUGCUUGUGCUUCUAAUGUGUGCAUACGAGAAUUCAACUUGCUAAGUCCAAAGAAGUAAAAGUAACUUCGGAAACGACACUGCAGUGACCUUUUUAUACAUCAUUACACUCUCCAACUUAAAUUAGUAUUAACAUUCUAAGACUUCGAUAACUACUCGAAGAUGACACUACAAAUUAUUAAACUAACUCUGAUAGAUCAUAUGCCAGCAAUAGAAAGGUGAUCACCAAACAGGUAAUGAUUUUAUUUACUUGUUACAUAAAAUACUUCAAAUGGAUUAGCGCAAUUUCCAUUUAAAAACGGCUAUUUAUCUGUAAAAGCAUAAUGCAAUAAUUUUAUAGAAAUCUUCUUAAUUUGAAAUUAUGUAAUAUGGAAGGUUGCGAAUGGAGUAUAAAGAAUAACUAUAAUCAAGUAUAAUAACUAAAACGCGUGAUAAAUCCACUCUUCAAAUUCCUCAUAGUUUUAAUUGUAACAAUUUAUUCCCUUUAACUUUGUUCCACAUAAAAAAUAAGGCCAUUUGAUAGCCUUCUAUUUCAAAAAGGAACAAUGUGAGUAAUAUUGGUAGACUCGACUUUGUCAAAAUUGAAAUUCCAAGGACAAAAUUAAAAUCAGGGUCAAACUGUGGGACUGAAUUGUUCAAAUCAAAACUCUAAGGACAAUUGGAGAAAGAGUCAAACUUGAAAAAGGACUAGAUUAUUACAAUUGAUACUCUCAAGGACCAAAUUGGCAUCAAGCCAGGUCAAAACUCACGGAAACAAAUGUGACAAGUAACCCUAAAAUAGAAAGACAAUGGUGAAAUCAACUAUGCAGCUCACUAAUAUAUAUUCAAGUGAAAAGAAUAGAUAGAAGUAUGCAUCGCAGCAUAAUAUGACAUAUGAGGUACUCAUAAAUGAUGUCAUAUAAACCUUAAAGAACAAAAAGAAUUGAUCAAGAGGUGGAACUAUAUCUGUGGUUUUGCCGCAAUGUGCACUUUACAUUUCCGUAGGAUCAAGAAAUCAAAUGUAAGAAUAAUCCCACGUAUAUUGGUGAACAGUACAGUAAAAUUCUAUUGAGUUCAAGUUGACAGGAUCCAAUAACUAUGGCGCGUCCUACGCUUAAAUGGGCUUGGGCUUUGGUAAAUCUCUGUAACAUGCUUUAGCCGAAUCCACAAUGAUUAGAAAUAGACUAAAGAGUUAGAAGGUAAGUUUAUGUGAGGGUUUCAACAUGGUAAAUGGUAAACUUCAGAGCUAUUAGGCUCUCAAGCCAUACGAACUACAAAGCCACGAUGUCGCACAACCUAAUGUAAAACUAGCAAGACUAGUAUAAACGAUUCAACAUAAUACAUCAACACUCAAACUUCAAGUAAUCAUAAAACUAAGUUUGAAUUACCUGACAUCUUUUCCGUCGGUCUGAAAGGUAUCGGGCUUUGAUCCAAGCUUCAUAAACUUCAUUUUUAACACGAAGCAAAAUACUGCAAUCCCUUCUUCUUCACUAUAUAAACAUCAAUAACUACUUCGCUGCCAGGCGGUCCAGCUGGUGGGCAGACUUCCUGCGGACACAAAGAAUGCCGAAUACUCAAACGGGUGGUGUUGAGUAGAUACAAAAAAUCGGAAAAAUGACACAUGAAGAGACAGACUGCGAUGGGCCUAGGACCUCUAAAAAGUAGGGCACAAGAGAAUCCGCCGUGGAGGGCACAAAUCGUGGCAAAAAAUAAGACAAUUAGAGGAGACAUUGGCAACCACUAUACAGCUAAACAAUUGAAGAAACCAGAGACAAGUGCAGAACACUAAACUGACACUAUCACCACCACUCUCAUUUGUUAAUGGCUUUCUCACCCUUUAUUGAGAUCUAUUGAGAUGCAGUGCUUCUCAUGCCACUAAUAUAUAUAUAUAUGUACAAAUAUGUGCAUAUAUAAAAGGGUGGUACACAUUCCUUAAUAGCCCAACUCCCAACUUGUUGAGAUCACACAUUUAACCAAGCAACAAAAAGACAGUGACCUUGAAGAGGGAGGAAGGGGAGCAGUGGAACAGGAGACAAUGAGCAUCUUAUAUAAAGAGAGGGGAGGGGGUUUGGAGAGACCAAAACUACUGCUGUGGUUGAAGGGAUCUUACCAAGUUUGCCCAGAACACAUUGCAGGGUGGUUAUGUUAGAAUGCAUACAGUAUGAGAGCCAAGAAAACAAGUGGGACUGCAUGGGACAGCCAGCAUUUAAUUUGGAAUUUAGUAAUUAAUUUUUUUAAUAUAUAUAUAUAGAGUCGAGCUAGAAUACUAUCGAUAGCAAACGGGCUCCGUUGCCACCCAUUUGUUUUCGAUGAUGGAACCUCCAAAUCGACGAUCGGCACCGUUGAACAUGAUCUAUACCACUUGAAGUGUUUAGAAAUCAAAUUUGAAAUCUUUUCAACAUCAUUUGCCUAAUGAUCAAAAGGUUUCAAAUUUUGUAAUUUUAAUGGUCGAUAUGAGGCGUUUUCUCGUUUAACGGCGUAAAGAUAUCCAAAUUAAUUAAAUUUUUGUUAGAAAAUUUUUUAAACUAUUUAAAACAAGAUCUAUACUCUUGAUCAUUAUUACAAGACUCCUAUCAUCAUUUUUUAAAAAACAUUUAUUUUCAGCCGUUCAUUUUUGUGUCCACUCGAUGGAUAAGAGAACAAUGUUGAAAUUGUAUGAAAUUUGAUUUCUAAGCACUUCAAGUGGUAUAGAUCAUGUUCAACGGUGCCGAUCGUCGAUUUGGAGACUCCACCAUCGAAAACAAAUGGAUGGCAACAGAGCCCGUUUGCUAUCGAUUUAUUGCGAGUCAACACCCAUUAGUAUAUAUAUAUAUAAUAUAUAUAUAUAUAAUAUAUAAUAUUAUAUAUAAAAGCAAUCAAGCAAUAGGUGAAAAAGAGGAGAAGAAUUACAAUGCAGUGGAAGAAACCUAAAUAAGAAAAAGAAGAGGAAGAAGAAAAAAAAAGGAAAAACUGUAGCCUGUCAUAAUCCUAUUCUGUUAAAAGAAAUAAAGAUAUUGAAGGUGGGGAGAUAUUGCCACCUACAUUAAGAGUUAAUAAUAUUUAUUAAGCCAGGCUGUAUAAGGAAGAAUGUACAAGUCCAGAAUAGCAAAGCUGACAGAGAAUAAAUGAACACAUUUUUCUUAUAAAAAAAGAAAGAAAGAAAGAUCCCCAUAAGACAAACUAAGCGGAGGAGCAACAAGAAGAGAAAAGUAUAUAAUGUUAAAUCCUGAACCCACAGCUAGUAAAGAGGAAAACUAAAUGCAGUUGAGAAGGAAAAAAAAAAAAAAAGAAAGAAAAUCUCAAGACUAAGAAACAAUCCAUACCUAAGAACAUGAAGAGGCAGUGAAUUAAUGAGGCCCAAACCAGGCAAAUGAAGAUCCAAAACCCCCAGGAACUCAACAAGGGGGUAGGGAGAGAGAGAGAGGAGAGAGAGAGAGAGAGAGGAGAGUUUGUUAAGAAGAAGAAGAAGAAGAAGAAGAAGGAAAAGGGGAGGAAAUCACCUUAAAAGGUCACACCACUAGUGCUACCACCACCAACAACUUUAGACACAAGCAGGUGUACUCUAAAGAACCACUAAACAGCAGCAGCAGCAGCAGCUGCAGCAGGAGGCCCAUCAUGCCCCCUCCCUCACCCACACCACCCCUCUGUGUCCUUGUCAGUCAGUCUCUCUCACCCCACCACCACACCACCACCACACCACCACCUUCUACCACACACAGCUAAAACACCAACAAAAAUGCACCACAAAAAAAAAAGAGCAAAAAAGAAAAAAGGAUAAAGGACGAGAUAUCUCCUCCCAGCCAAUUUACCUACAAGAGGCAACAACAUACUCCACAGAGUUCGCUUCUCUUUACCCACCCCCCCCCCCCCCCCCCCCUCUCUCUCUCUCUCGCUCUCUAGUAAAGAGAACAAAGUUUUGACACGAGCUCUUCUUUUCUUCCUCUUUCUCUGCUUUUCAUUGCCAUUUAUUGUUUCUUUAUAGCCUCAGCUUCCCCCACCCACAGUCUCUCUCUCUCUCUCUCUCUCUCUCUCUCUCUCUCUUUCAUGGCUAGCUUUUGCUUCUCUUUAGCCUGAGGCCUGCCUGCUGACUACUUGAGAGUUUAACAAGUAAAGUGACUUUAAUGCCCCUUUAAUUCUUGGAAAAUUCCAAGGGAGAGCUAACUUUACCAGUACAGCAGCUCUAGGAAAAUGAGAGUGCUCUUCUUCUUCAUAGGAUACUAGUAUUAGUCAUCAUUACAUACUUUGAUUAAUAUAUAUAUAUAUAACAUACUUUGAUUAAUAUAUAUAUAUAUAUAUAUAUAUAGAGGGAGAGAGAGAGAGAGAGAGAGAGAGUUCGAUUAUUAAUAUACUUUUAUGAGUAUAAAUUUAUUUGUACUCAUAAAUUUUUAACCGUUAAAUUUAACACUUUACUAUUUUCACCUAUUAGAUCAUACUAUUCAAAAAACUACCCACUCAACCCUAGAAGACCACUAUCAUCAUAAUCGAGGAUUACUAUCAUUCUAAUCGCACAUUUUUUUCAUCCAACGAUCGAAAAUUUAUGAGUACAAAAAGGUCUAUACUCAUAAGAGUAUAGCGGCUCUAACAUAUAUAGAGUCCGAUUAUUAUACUCUUAUUAGUAUAGACUUCUUUGUACUCAUAAAUUUUUGACCGUUAAAACUACCCCCUUGACUAUUUUCAUCCAUUAUAUCAUACUAUUCAAGCAACUACCCAUUCAACCUUAGAGGACCACUAUCAUUCUAAUAUAUAGUAGCCCUAGCAUAUAUAUAUAUAUAUAUAUAUAUAUAUAUAUAUAAUUGAGUUAGAAUACUUUUAGAAGCACCAAUUUUCUUGGUGCUUCUAAAUUUCUAGCCCUUGCAUCUACUCCUUAAUUACUAAUACCUCUUGGAUCAAACACUAUUCUACCUACCACCACCUACUACCAUCAUCUCAACCCUACAUCUCUCCAUUCAAUGGUUAAAAACUCAAAAGCAUCACUCCCUUGAUGUUUUUUAGAGUAUUCUAGCUCAACUAUAUAUAUAUAUAGUAGGGCUACUAUACUCUUAUGAGUAUAGAACCCUUCGUACUCAUAAGUUGUUUUCGAUGUUGGGCUUUUCGAAUAAACGAUCCACACCAUUAAACAUGAUCUAGAGUAUUUGAAACUUUUAGAAAAUAAAUUUCGUAAAUUUUUAAAAUCAUUAUAAAGUUUAUCAAGCGGGUAUAAAAUGAACAGUUAAAAUCGAAUGACAUUCUAAAAAUGGAUGAUCGAAUCUUCGAUUUAAGAUCGGAAUUAUUGAUCUUUAUUUAGGUAGUGUAAUAGAAUUUUCUAUCAAAAAUUUAACCUAUUCCGAUUCUUUUUCACCGUUAAACUAGCAAAUAUCUUAUAUCGGUUGUUAAAAAUUGUCAAUUUUAUGAGCUUUUGAUCAUAAGGUAAUGAUAUCGAAAAAUUAUAAAAUUUGAUUUCUAGAAGUUUUAAAUGCUCUAGAUAAUGUUUAACGGUAUGGAUCAUCAAUUCGAAAGCUCUAUCAUCGAAAACGACUUAUGAGUACGAGGACGAUCGUACUCAUAAAAGUAUAGUAGCCGGACUUUAUAUAUAUAUAUAUAUAUAUAUAUAUAUAUAUAUAUAUAUAUAUAUAUAUAUAUAUAUAUAUAUAUAUAUAUAUAUAUAGAAAGCUAUUNNNNNNNNNNNNNNNNNNNNNNAUAAUUUUUCGAUAUCAUUUACCUUACGAUCAAAAGCUCACAAAAUUGACAAUUUUUAACGGCUGGUACGUGAUACUUGCUAGUUUAACGGUAUAAAAGAAUCAAAAUAGCUUGAAUUUUUGAUAGAAAAUUCUAUUCACUACGUAGAUAAAGAUCAAUAACCCCGAUCUUAAAUUGAAUGAUCCGAUCAUUCAUAUUUAGGACGUCGUUCGAUUUUGACCAUUCAUUUUAUAUUCGUUUGAUGGACUUUAUAAUGAUUUCAAAAAAUUACAAAAUUUAUUUUCUAUAAAUUUCAAAUACUCUAAAUUAUGUUUAACGAUGUGGAUCGACGAUUCGGAAGCCCCAAUAUCAAAAAUAACUUAUUAGUACGAAGAGCUCUAUAUUCAUAAGAGUAUAGUAGCCAUACUCUAUAUAUAAAUAUAUAUAGGUGGAAUAAUAUUAACUGUUGCGACAAGCACACAAGCAAAACGGAAAAAUGAUCGUAAAAUAGAGAAAUCACAAAACAGUAAAUUAAGAUAGAAUAUAAAAAUUUACGUAAAAAAUUUUUUACAAAAAAAAAUUACAGACGAAAAAGAAGAUAACUUCGCUAUAUGAAAAAGGAGUACAAAAUAGAAAAUAGAGCAAAAGGAAAAAAAAAAAAAAAAACCCUUAAAAAAUUUCUUCAUAAUCUAAUCCGAUCCAUACUGCGGGGAGGGAGGCCCCUGCACUCUCCGUCGGAUGUCAGUGAUCGGCUACAAGCCCAGGCCUAUCGACACGAGCCCUCUAUUUUCAUCAUAGAUAUUUUUUUUUUCACAAAUUAUUUUUUAAAAUUUAUCGUACCAUAAAAUUAUCGAUAAAUUAAGGAUAUCAAACUGAUAACUAAAUUUCGAAACACAUCUAAUAUUUACUAUCAUCUCUUUAGUAGUUUUCGAUGUCUAGAAUUUACUAUUUGACGAUUAUACUAGUACUCCACAUAUUCCUAUUUAUUUCUAGAUUUUCGACGAGGGAAGUAAUAUUAAUAAUGUACUUAUAUCAGUGCUGGAAAAGAACUAUCUACUAAUUGAAUUUGAUCAAAUAUAAUUUUUUUAUCUAAUUAGUUUGUAGCUAAAACAAAAUUAUUAAUAUAAUCGCCCUUAGGAAAGUUUAAUUUAGUUUAAUUAAAGAGUGAUGCACCCCACUUAUAUUUUUUUUAUACUAUUUUGCUUUAUACGAUGACAUAAAGCAUUCAAUUGGAUUGCAGUUAUAACUCGGAGUAUAGAGGUUUAAUUUAUCAGUAGAAUGAUAAUUACAGUAGUUCAAAAAUUAAUAAAAAAGCGUUAUUUUAGCAUCACUUAAAAAUUAUAAAAUUUGUGUAUGAGCAAAGUAUUUUUUUUUUUUAAUUAAUCUCCAUCAGGUGGUGGUUAAUAAAAGAAUGUCAACAAUUGUUUUUCACUAGUCCCUGGUCCCCAAAGUUGCACCUAGUAUUUAUUUAUUUUAUUAAUUAACUACCAAAACAGUGGAUAUCUUAUAGAUACCAUGAGACCAUGCUUCCCCUUAUUUUAGUCAAGGAAAAAUAAACAAUUAAUCUUUGAAUUUCUUAGCAAAUUAUAAUUUAAUUGAUGUUUAUAUUAUAUAUUACACUAGUAUUUUCUAAACAUUUAACUUUAGGCUCUCCCAAUUAAACUAUUUCUGAUCCUUCACUUUGGUUCUUAUUAUUUUAAUCCAACUGGUUAAUUUAUAAGCAGUAAAAUAUGAUGAACGCAGAAGCAGGCGACAUGAAAUAAAAUAUGAAAUGGAUCGAAGAUCGAUCGAUGCACCAUGCAUGAAUGUCAAGAUGCAUGGAAGCAAAAGCAAUAACUUUUGCUUACAAGUAAAUAAUUUAGAAAUUUUUUUUACGUACAUAUCGACCAGCAAUAUUCAACUUUUGAGGACCAAAGUGAAUCUUGGUAAAAAGUUCAAGGACCAAUGGUGCAAUUUAUUACCCAGAAUUUAGCAGUUAAUCUCUUAGCUAAUCAGAUGAACUUACCUAAUUGCUUACGAUAUAUGGCACUAAGAACAUGGCAAAUCAUACCAUUAAUUCUUAAAUACCUACUGUUCUCUGAACAUGAGCAAUUAAAAAGAAACAUCAUAAAUUAAGCAUGAACCUGCCAUAUGUACCAUUCAAAAAGUUUCAUUUUAAACUAACACACUCUCAGCAAUAACCUAAUUAACUUAUGUUAAUGUGAAGUGCGGGCCUCAGCUACUAUCCCUCCUCUCCCUACUCACAUCCCCUCUUUUUUUUCCUUUUGUUUUCCUUUGUCUUACAUUUUCACUUUACCUUUUUUGCCGGUUCUCUGGGAGGUCUUUGCUGCUUCUAUACUAUACACCCCGUUCAUUUUGCUUAAUGAAUAAAGCAGGUAGCUUACUAUCUUUUUCUCAAAAAAAACUUAUGUUAAUGUGCAUGCUAUUGUGUCUAGUAAAUUAUAUAAAGUAAUUAUUUUUAAAAAAAAACUUAAGCUGUUGCGUCUCCACUCAUGUCUGCAAUCGAGAUUUUUUGAUUGACUCUAGAUGUGGACUUAAAUUAAGUGAAAAAAAAAUUAAAUAAUAUUAGAAGCUUGUCGGGACUCAAACUUAAGAUCUUGUGCUUUAAUACAUAUAAAUUAUAUAAAAUAAUCUUUUAGAAAAAAAGCUUAAUUUGCUGAUAUUUAUAUUCAACAUAGCUAUUCUUAUUCAAUUGUGAUAAAGCUCCUACAGUUUGCUUCGGGGUUAAGAAAAAAUUAGUUAUUUCAGGGAUAGGGUUAAGUUCAGGGCUAAGGUGGGGUUAGAGCAUUUUUAUGUUUGGUUAAGAAUUGGAGUUAGUCCAGAAUUAAAGAAAAUAGUGUUUAGUUGGAGAAGGUGGGAUAAGAAGGAUAGUGGGUAAAAUAAUGUUUUGUUUGGUUGGAGUAGUGGGGUGGGGUGGAGUUAUCUGGGGUUAGCUAACCCCAUCCCAAAUGGGUGGGGGUUAGCUAACCUCACCCCCCUAAAAUCAUGUUUGGGAAUAAAACCGGGGUUAAGGGGUUAUCCCACCCCUUAACCCCAAACCAAGUGUUUAGUUAGGGGAUAGGGAUAGGCAUAGGCCCUUAUCCCCCCUUUUAUACCCAAACGCUAAUUUUUUACUCAAGAACAGUAGUUUUCGGUUACCUAUAAUAACCGGUUAUAACUAUUCCCACCAACACCUCCAUUUUCUAUAUAAAACUACCUAAUAUUUUUCUUAUUCUAUAUUAUCUAUCCAAACGCUAUUUUUCUUAUCCCCGGGAACAACCCAAUUUUCAUCCAAACGUUAUUUUUCUGAUCCUCAUACUUGUACCCAUCCCUAUAAUAGCUAGUUCAUGCUCAUACCCGAACCAAACGAUAAGAAUUAAAGAAAUGCAUGCAAAAUGAGUCAUUUCUCUUAUUAGUGUAGGCAUGAAUAUCAAUUUUUAAGAUCCACAUAAAAAUAAAUUGGAGGUUUUAGCAUAUAAAAAUAAAUUAGAGAUACAUAAUAUUUACGUGAUUCGGCCACUGACCUACGUUGACUGGCGAAGGCGGAGCGGAGAUCUUCAUUAUAAUAGUAGUGAACAAAAUAUGCCUCUCUCGCAAAACCCUAAUUCCAAAAAUACAGCCAAACUCUUUCUCAUCUGCUGCACCAAAUCAAUGGUAUAAAUAGUAUAUUUAUAAUAGUGGCUAACUCCUAAUAUGAUUAGGAAUAUAAAUCCACUAAGACUAGAAAUAUAUUAAUUAGAUUAGGCAUAAUCUAAAUUUAAUACAGAAUAGGGUUAGAAAACCUUGCGGUUCUAGAAUUAGAGACAUAUCUAACAACAUAUGUAUCUAUGUAUAGUUAUAAUUAAAUCUUACAACCCAAGCACCCUAGGAUUUACAAAAAUUCAAAUAAAAUUUUAGUUAAAAAAUAAUAUUAAAUUAUAAGGCAAGGAAGGAAGAAGAGUCUUUGGAUGAAUGAGAUACAAAAUGUAUACUUAGUUUAGAGGGCGUACAAAUAGAUAAUAUACAUAUUUUUUUAUUAUUUAUAUGCACGGUAUAAAAUUGUCAUGUAAGUUUAUCUGCAUAUCAAAAACCAGCAAAACAAAAUCAUGUGUGAUUAAAAAAAAACUUUGUAAUAGGUAUUCUAGAGAGGUUCUAAUGUUCUAUACAUAAUGAUAUUUGUGUACUGAGACAUGUAAGAUAGUGAAGAACCUAAUGGACGUAAUAUAAUAACUUUACGUUGGAAUAUGUAUCAAAGAAAAAAAUAGAUUCUUAUAUUUGAACACAAAGUACGUAAAAAGCUUUUGGUUAUAAGUGUUGGUAUUCUAUAUGGAAUGAUAGCUAUAAAGAACACUUUCCUUUCUAUUGGGUCGAGAAAAAAAUAUACAAAUAUUGUUUUUUUUUGACAACUUAAAUUUUUAGAUAUGAAAUCAUUUGUUUUACAUUAUUUAACAUCUUAAUUUAGUAGAAAAAUUUUCAGCUCAUAUUUUACCGAAUUGCUAAGUGUUUUGAGCUCUAAGGGGCCAUUUGUUUAAAUGUAAUUAUAAAUAUAGUGUGGUUAGAGAUGCAUAUAGUUGAAAAUGCAGCAGUUACAACUGCAUGCAUCUUAUUUGGUUGGAUGUAGUAGAAAACACUGCAAGUAUAAAUAAUUUGUUUGGUUGCAUGCAUUUGAGAAAUAAUUUUUAAAAUUUUAUUAUUUUAUAUAUAUGAUGGUGAGAUUACCUCUAAUGUAAAAAAGAAAAAUAAUUUUUGUUUAAAAAAUAAUUGAGCAGGUAAGCAUACUUUUUAUUUAAUGUUACUCUCUCCAACUACUGCAGUUUGAACUACAGCUAAUUUGGGCGUAGUUUAAACUGCUGCAGUUGGGUCUCCUCCUGCCGUUCCUAUUGUAGCAAUUAAAAUUAAAUACAUCACACCAAACACCGAAUUUGUAUUUGCAUACAGUUACAAGUGCAGUGUAGUUGCAAAUACAUACAACCAAGCAUCUCUUAAUAUAAAGUAUUGAACAUAUAGUAAUAAAAUAUUAUUCUUUAACAGCAUAAAUUUUUGAAAAUAAAAGUGGAGAUCAGAGUAAUUUUUUAUUACUAGGAAUGUCUCUUGAUAGAACUAGACCAUUUUAAUUAGGCCAGGGUCAGGAUAAACUUUGCUACAUAUUUGGCUUGGCCAUUUUGUCAAAUUGAGCUUAGUUAGGUCCAUAUUGUUUUCAUUAGUGGAUACCUACCCAACCCAAACCAACUCAACCAAAAAGAUUGUCACACCCUAAGCUAAUGAGAUAGAUCAGGCUUUAUAGAUUUUGACUUAACUGCUUCCAUUAAUGCUUUAAUUACCUGUACCUAGUGGCCUUGAUUCUUGAACCAAGCAUACCAUGCUACAAUUAGGUUAAACUUUACUUUCCCAAAUUUAUUGUAUAAUUAAGAACCCAAACUGGAUUCAGAUUCAAGGCCAUAUUGACUACCUAUUGUUCCUUACUUUUUUGUACGAACCUUCUUUGCUUUUUGUUUUCUAAUUCACUAAAUUUUUUUAUGAUCGUAAACUUUUCGAUCUUAUCGAAUAUGUCUGCCAAAUUUGGGAUUAUGAUAUGAGUGUGCUAAGGUCAGAUCAAGUUGGUCCAAUCGAACACGCAAAGGGGCCAUGCAUGCCCACUAUAUCCUGCAUCGAUCAGCUUUCAUAGUGGGAUUACUAUUUCUCGCGUAGCAGCGGCAAUAAUUGAUCGCGCAAAUCUAACUUUUCGAUUUGAUCUCCUUCUUAUGCUAUAUUUCAUCUUUUAACAAAAUAUUAUUGGUUGAUUUUGUCAUGUACGCAAAUAAAGAAUCUAUUAAGAAACUUUUAGUUCCAUUGUUUGUUCCUUCAUGAAUCUCAAGCAAAAUCCCCCAAAGCAAGGAGGGAUCCCCUUAUUAUUAUUAUAUAUAUUAUUACUUAGCAUUUAAUUAAUGAGAUUUAUAAGAGACACACACGUCACCUUAAUGUGAUAAUGGGGGACAUAACAUAGUGGGGACAAUGAGACAAUGUCCUAACUAAAGGAGAUCCCCCCCAUCCCCUUAAGAAAAGCCAUGUAUAUCCAAGAUCCACCACAUAAUAUUAUUUGUGAAAUGAAAUCACCCUCACAUGCACUUUUUUUUCUUUUUCUUUUUUUUUUUUGUUGCUUGCAUGUAACUCUAUCUUAACUCUUUCUCUCUCAUCAUUUCAAAUAAGUAAAUGAUCUUAGACCCUCCAUAAACAAGGGAACACAAGAGAGACACACAACACAAGGGUGCUCCAAAGCACAAGGAUUAGCGCUCGAUCGGAGCGCUAAUCCGACGCGACAAGAGGCACUGAUAAAGAGUAGAUAGUAGAUGCCUUAUGUCCAGGUGAAAAAUAUUGAUAUGAAUAAUCGACGCAUGCACCACAAACAGAAAGUAGGUGGAAGGAUGAUGCAGGAUCACUUCUUGUGAAUAGUGUUUCGUAUCAAAACUAAUUGAAUAACUACAAUAGAAUUAACUUAUAGCGACAUAUUUUUAGAACAUUUUUGUGUACGUGUUUUAUUUAUGCUAAAUUUUUUUAAAAAAAAAUCUGCUAAGUUCUAAAUAUAAAGCCUAAUCCAACCAAAAAUAAAAUGUUACUAAAUACUUGUUACAAACAGAAAAGGAAAAGAAAAAAAAAAUCGAUCACCAUCACCUUUUCUCCCCUCAUUCAAUCCACUAAAACCCUAGACGAAGAGCUCCCUCGCUCUUCUUCUCCUCCGCGCCGCAGCCGACAAGGUAUGAUACUGGCGGUUGCUAAAUGUUUAAAUAAGUACCGAUAAAUUAGCAGCAUUUUUUUAGAUUAUACCAACACUCUUAAACUGUCACUAUAUACCUAGCGACCCCACAUAUAGCAACAUUUUUUUAAAAGUGUAGAUAAUUUAGCUAACAGUAUUUUUUUUUACCUGUACCGAUAUUUAAAAGUGUCGUUAUAUACUGUUUUGUUGUAGUAAGUGGUGAUGCAUGACAAGUUGAUCUUGUUUUUGAGUUGAUUAAUAUAAUUACUUUUUGAAAAGAAAAAUUCAGAUAUUUUUUUUUAUCCCUCUCUUGCGGAAUAAAUAAUUGUGAUAUCCAUCAGCACUUAUGUCAAAUAUUUCUUUUCUCAGAGGAUCGGUACAUUUGAUUCCUCUAUAAUUAAUCGUAGCUAUAUAUAACUUGAACAAAACUUCACCGGAAAGCUUCCCAGCAAAAAGGAGGUGUGUGAAUUGUCGGAUUGCUGUUAUUUAAAUUUCGAAACGAGUUUCGAGUAUGAUCUGAUACGUGAACUUCGAAUGAAAUAGUUGGUGAAGUUUGUUUUUCUCUUCCAUUUAAAUGAUAAUAUGCCCACUGGCAUUCAAACUUAGGCAUUAUGUUCUGAUAUUACGAACAAUAAUUGAUUUAUUAAUGUAAGUGGUUGAAAAAAAAAAAAAACGGAAAAAUCUAUCAUUUUCCUUUCAUUUCAAAGAGUCAAUAGAAUGAUAUAAAAUGCAACUUGAAAUAUUUUAAUUGAUGGUAUACUAAAGAAAGAAAUGCGAAUUUUCAUAUCCGCUAUACUAACGGUCCGUGAUGUAAUGUUAUAUUUGGGAACCGUUUAAUUCACAAUUUGCAAUAUUUUGAAAUUUUAUUAUAUAAUUUAUAUAUAAAAUGACAAAUUUAUUACUAACUAAUCAAGCUACUUAAUUAAAUUAAAAUAUUGUUAAGAACUAGUAUUUAUUUUUAUUAAUUAAGUAUUAAUAAUUCUCAUCCAAUAUGAAAGUGAAAGUAUCUCCUAGUUCAUAAUAAUUUAAUAUUCCUGCCACGAACAUAAUAAUCUACAACGAUUCGAUUACUUCACUAAGGGGCCGUUUAGUUAUAUAUAGUUGCAACUGCACUGCAGUUGUAACUGUAUAUAAAUACAAAUUUCGUGUUUGGUUUGAUGUAUUUAACUCCAACUGCUGCAGUAGGAACUGCAGGAGGAGGCCCAACUACAGCAGUUCGAACUACGUCAAAAUUGGCCGCAGUUUCAACUACAGCAGUUGGAAAGAAUAACUUUAAAUAAAAAGUAUGCUUACCUCCUUAAUAUUUUUUAAACAAAAAUUAUUUUCUUUUGUUACAUUAGAGGUAAUCUCACCAUCAUAUAUAUAAAUAAAUAAAAUUUUAAAAUUAUUUCUCAACUGCAUGCAGCCAAACAAAUUAUUUACACUUACAGCGCUUUCUACUACAUCCAACCAAACAUGAUUCAUAUAGUUAUAACUGCUGUAUUUCGAACUGCAUACAUCUUUAAUUAUACUGCAUUUAUAAUUACAUCUAACCAAAGGGCCCCUAACAUGCAUAUUAUACAACUACUCCGCUUGAAUAUAACGAUAAUAAUUUAAAUAUUUUUAAUAAAAAAAUAUGAAAAAAAAUCUAAAUAUUGUAUGAUCGAGAAUUCAACGGGCCCUCAUAUCAAUUUGCUCCAUAAUUAAUCAACUCUUGGUUUCAUAUAUAGAAUUAUUAACAAAAGUUACUCAAUCUCCUAAAGGGAUUCGUAUCAUGCCUUAGGUCAUCUCCAUUGUCUUUCACAUUGUAUCACAUGUUUCCUCAUCGUAUUAUUCUAUUCCUCUACACUCAUUGUGUCUCCUCCCACAUCGUUAUAGCCUUUUUGACUCUUGUACAUGUACUAACUCAUAAAAGUGUUGUUUUCUACUACCCAGUUGAAUAGAUUCCACUCGGCUUAAUUUCUACUUGGUUAAUAAUUUGAGUAGGUCCUGUAUGCUAUUAGGUGUACGGAGGCUUUUAUACUUUUAAAUUAUUUUUGAUGAUGAGACUUUUGAAUUGACGAUCGGCUCCGUUAGACUUAAUCUAUUGUAUUUGAAAUAUCUAGAAAAUAAAUUUUACAGUUUUUCGAAAUUAUUUACCUAGCGAUCAAAAAAAUUCAAAAUCAACGGCUAAAAAUAAAAAUCUCACAAAAAGUGGUGAUAUAACGCUAAAAUUUUUUAUCAAAGAUAUUGACCUUGCAGUAAGUGGUAUAAAGAUUUUUUUAUAUAUAUAUAUAUAUAUCUCAUUCCGAUGAUACGAUAGCCUUCGUGCCUCGGAAGGCACGAAGGUCGAGCAAAAGCUACAACGUUGAAAGCUUAGCAGCUAGCCGGGGCAAUUUGAACUAGAUCUCAUAAACUUCAUGGAUCUUUUAUUUAAAAUACCAAAAUGCUAUAGUAAACGGAUCACUUGCUUCCCCGAGUUUUAGUUGCCGACUUUUAUUUUUAGAAUGUUUUAUAUUAUUAUACUGUAAUUUUAAAAUUUAAUUUCUAUAACUAGAACAAAAUAUAUCAUAUUUCUUAAAAAAUAAUUUUAAAGUGCACUAAACCUAUAAAGAUGUGGCAAUUUGAACGUUUGCCGAGUGAUGCCGGUAACUUUAAAUAAUUAAAACUCGGGUAAGCUAGUGAUCCGUUUACUAUAGCUUUUUAUUAUUUUAAAUAAAAGAUCCAUGAGGUUUAUGAGAUCUAGUUCAAAUUGCCUCGGCUAGCUGCUAAGCUUUCAGCGUUGUAGCUUUUGCUCGACCUUCGUGCCUUCCGAGGCACGAAGGCUAUCGUAUCAUCGGAGUGAUAUAUAUAUAUAUAUAUAAUAAAAAACUACAGUAAACGGAUCACUAGCUUAUACGAGUUUUAGUUGUUUAAAGUUACCGGCAUCACUCAGCAAACGUUCAAAUUGCCACAUCUUUAUAGGUUUAGUGCACUUUAAAACUAUCUUUUAAGAAAUAUGAUAUAUUUUGUUCUAGUUAUAGAAACUAAAUUUUAAAAUUACAGUAUAAUAAUGUAAAAUAUUCUAAAAAUAAAAGUCGGCAACUAAAACUCAGGGAAGCAAGUGAUCCGUUUACUAUAGCAUUUUAGUAUUUUAAAUAAAAGAUCCAUGAAGUUUAUGAGAUCUAGUUCAAAUUGCCUCGGCUAGCUGCUAAGCUUUCAGCGUUGUAGCUUUUGCUCGACCUUCGUGCCUUCCGAGGCACGAAGGUUAUCGUAUCAUCGGAGUGAGAUAUAUAUAUAUAUAUAUAUAUAUAUAUACAUAUCAUAAUUCGAGAACCAUGAUAAUUCAAAAACCGGCAACCUACUUUCCUACACUCCAAUUUAACUAUCACCAGAGGAUCCCAACUCACCCACCAACCAAAUUAUCAUAUUAGAUUGCCCACCUUUACUAGUUUCCUAUCUAGAUUGCCAUCUUUUGAGUUAUCAUAGUUCUCGAAGCAUGAUAGUUAUCAUAUCAUCGGCUUGAUAUAUAUAUAUAUAUAUAUAUAUAUAUAUAUAUCAACCUGACCCGAUGAUAAUCAUCGUUUUAAGGUAACAACGAUACUCAAAAAAUCGGAAACCUAGUUGAGAAAAGUAAUAAAGAUUGGUAACCUAAUUUAUGAUAUUGGGUCACCCCUGGUGAAUUGGGAUCCCCCUGGUGAAUUGAGAUUGGCUGAUUAUAGUAGAACUGGAAUGUUAAAAAGUAGGUUCCCAAUUUUUGAACUAUCGUUUUUUUAGCAAAAUGAUAAUUAUUAUAAGGUCGGAUUAAUAUAUAUAUAUAUAUAUAUCUCUCUCUCUCUCGAUGAUACGAUAACCUUCGUAUCUCGUAAACUAUGAAGGCUAUAAAACUAAUAACCUAAUUUUUAAUAUACCAACCCUACUAAUGCCAGGGGGGUCCCAACAAUCAUGGGGAUCCCACAUAUAUAUAUAUAUAUAUAUCACUACGAUGAUACGAAAACCUUCGUGCCUCCGAAGACACGAAGGUCCAGCAAAAAGUAUAACGCUGAAAUUUUAGCAGCUAGACGAGGCAAUUUGAACUAGAUCUCAUAAACUUCAUAGAUCUUUUAUUUAAUACGCUAAAAAGCUAUAAUAAACGGAUCACUUGCUUCCCCGAGUUUUAAUUGCCGACUUUUAUUUUUAGAAUAUUUUGCACUAUUAUACUGUAAUUUUAAAAUCUAAUUUCUAUAACUAGAACAAAAUAUAUCAUAUUUCUUAAAAGAUCGUUUUAAAGUGCACUAAACUUAUAAAAAUGUGGCAAUUUGAACGUUUGCCGAGUGAUGCCGGUAAUUUUAAUAAAUUACCAACCACAUAUAGCAAAUGUUCAAAUUGUCACAUCUUCAUAAGUUUAGUUUAUUGUAAAACUANNNNNNNNNNNNNNNNNNNNUAUAUAUAUAUAGUUUUUGAAUGGAUUGUUGUCAACAUGAGUAUCUAUGAUAGUUUCUUUAAAUAAAAAGAAUAUUUUAGAUAUUAACACUUUUAUAUAAACAAAUAUCUAAUUAAGGAUCAGAGAAAGGAUACUUGUGAAAUUAAUCCUAUAAUAAAAGGCUAAAUUUUAAUUAACGUCAAAUAGUUUAGCGUGUUAGUAAUUUAUUAUUUUGUGAUAUAAAAAGUUAUAAUAUAAUCAUGAAAUUUAAACAACCAUUUACGUCAAUGCGUUCUGAUAAACUAAAACAUGAAUUAAGUGAAAGAAAUAGAUUCGAACUCAUAAUUUUCUGCUUUAAUAUUAUAUAAAAAAAACUGUUUGUUUCUAAAUAUUUUAAACUACGAGAGAAUAACAUCUUAAUACUUUAUAUUCAACAAUCUUAUAACUUUAAAUUUGUACAGCUUACAACACGCAGUGUAGUAAACUAUAGUAUAUUACUAUCCUAUAAUUUUUUCUUUAAUUUUACUAUCCGUAGCUCAGUAAAACAUAACCAAAACUAUAGGAUAUCAAAAAUAUAAUUUUUUAUACUAUAAGAUAUUAAAGUUAAAAUGCGCUAAUAUAAAAUGCGAGCAGUCCAAGUUUGAAGUUAAUUACAUUACACUACAUGAAAAAGCUCACAUUGAUGAUAUAUUUUUAUUAGGGUAAUUGUCUAUAUGUCUUUCAAAAUUUUGAAUUUUUUUUUUCCUUUCCAAUAUACUCAUCAUAUGUUCCUCCAUUAUUUCAAAAUACCCCUGCAGUUACCACCUGUUAAGUUAACUUGAAUUAAACAUGAGUUUAAUAUCUAACAUAGUUAAAAAAAAAAAUCAAAAUAUCUUUUUUGCCCUUACUUAAGGGCAAAGAAAAAUUAUUGGUGAUGGUAGAAGGAUAUAUUUGAAAAGAUUAAAAAUUAAAAUAUUUUUUGUUCCCCUAAUUUAAGAAAAAAUAAGAAAAAUCGGUGAUAGUAGAAGAGUUUAUUUGAAAUGACAAAAUAAUAAUUUCAUAGAGAUAACAGCUAUGACUAAUAGUUUAUUAAUAGAAUUUAAUUUUAGAAUUAUAUUUAAAAUAGGUUGAAAUGUAAAAAAAUAUAUUUUCAAUUUUAACCUCUUUUCUUUCAAGAGGGUAAAUCAAAAAAUUCAAAAUUUUUCAAGG